CGGCGACACCUCACACCACGCACGCAACCUCCGUUGGUCGCCAGGGUUGGUUAGACGGCUGACAGCAACACACACGGCCGAUCGAGCUAGGGAGUAAUGAAUUGACAGCCACCCGCAUGUUAGUCGUCGUUUGGAUUUAUUUGGAUUAUCAUUAGUAAUUAGUAGCAAUCCUCCUGUCACUUGCAAUCAUGCAUUGUUGGUGACUCCUAGUAUGUCCUAUAUAUCAGCUGCCACAACUAGCUAGGCACUAUAGUAGCUAGUUCAUUGAGUACGUACACUGCUAUCUACUCUCUGAUUAUACUAUUCAGUUGGUGAUCAUAACACACACUACUGCGUGAAGCACUAAUACAUAAUCUGUCAGACUGUCACUGCUUGUGGUUGUGGACUUGUGGGCAGUAGUAGUCACCUACUUAAGAUUCUUUUUAUUUAGCAGUGCUCACCUAAGAACUAGUUUCGUGUGACACUUUCGUUUUUAUUUGACAAAUAUUGUCCAAUCAUGGAAUUCAAAAGAUUCAUCUCGCGAUUUACAGGUAAACUGUGCAAUUAGUUUUUGUUUUCGUUUAUAUUUAGUGCUUCAUGCAUGUGCCGCAAGAUUCGAUAUGAUGGAGAAUCUUGAAAAGUUUUUGGUUUUUAGGGUGAACUAAACAAGGCCUUAGUCGGGUGAUCCUGAGAUUGACUUAAGAUAUUCUCUCUCAAUUUUAGUGAAAUCUCUAAUCUCUGCAGCAAUGUUUAAAUUAAUAAAUGGAAGACUGUAGUUCGGCUUUCUUUGCUAACAGAUAUCCCAAAUAAAGGUUGGUUUUCAUGAUACCAUGCAUACUUCAUCUUGGGACCUGCCCAUUGUAUAUAUUCUGUCAUACAAAUUGCGACUUGCAUUUCUCCCUCCCCUCCCCUCCCCUCCCCCCCCCCCCCCCCCGCCCCCAAGCUACCACCAUAGCCACUCACCUCAAUGUUCACCAAGACACAUCUUGACUAUCACCGAUCGAAAUAAUUUAUAAGGAAGCUUACCAAUUAGGCUACCUUCAAUUCGUUGUCUCUUUAAAUAUAUGUACUCCUCUGCCACAAAAAGAAUACACAUCUCUUUUUUUUAGAAUUAUUUUUUUAAAUUUGACUAGAUUUAUAAUAUAUAAUAUCAAUAUUUGUAUCUCCAAAUGUAUUUGUUAUAAAAAUGUAUUCUAAUGUUGAUCUAGUGAUAUUUAUUAUAUAUUUGGUUAUAUUUAAAGACUCCUCAAGAAAUGAGAUUUUUUUAGAUGGGAGAUUAUAUGUUUCAUAUGAAAUUGAUAAGAGCAUGUAACUAGUAGGCCUUGUUUAGUUCACCCUAAAAAUCAAAAAAAAAUUCAAGAUUCCUGGUCACAUCAAAUCUUGUGGCACAUGCAUGGAGCAUUAAAUAUAGAUGAAAACAAAAACUAAUAGCCUAGUUUGCCUGUAAAUCGCGAGACGAAUCUUUUAGAUCUAGUUACUCCAUGAUUGGACAAUGUUUGUCAAAUAAAAACGAAAGUGCUAUAUUGUCAAAAUCCAAAAACUUUUUGGAUAUAAACAAGACAUAUAUAUAUUGUAUCCAUCAACGCUUUAGCUCGGUAUGACAAGUAAGUUUCAGCAAUUUAUUUAUAAGUAUCAGAAAGUCCUAUUGUUUUCUUCAUGAACUUUGUUGUCUCCCUUUCUAAUUAAAUUUAAAUGAUGUAGGACCCGUUAUUUCCAUCUUUUGGGUUUUCUCAUAUUUUAACCCUGAAGGAUGCCAUGUACCUGUCAGUCUUAUCUAUGCGCGAUUCACAUGCUCUAGGCAAGCCUGUAAGAUCGAGACGAUGGUUUUUUUAUUCAUUGAAAUAAAAGGAAGAUGACGACUAGUGCAUCAUGCACUGGUACUGGUAGUAGCUAAACUUGUGCCCAUGAACGACAUGAUGACACUGCAGCUCACAAUGCAAGUAGGCAAGUAGCCAGUGCCUAUCAUUAUUGCUCAAUGAGACAAAUGACCAUAGAAUUGCAAUUUCCUCAGGCACUUCAAUCCAUUUUAUUUGAUUCCAAUUGUUCAGCACAAAAUGGAGUUGGAGUUACAUGAAUAAGAGAAUGGAAAUUUCACGAGGAGCCAAACAAUUUUAAAUUUAACAAAAUUUAUAGAAAAUAGUCAACAUUUAUAUUCCAAUAAGUAAAGCAGUUAAUUCAUAAGUCCAAGUUUUCAUGAGAGUUUUAUGAAUAUUGAAUAUACUGACAUGAUAUGAAGAGAGGUAAUAAAAGUUUCAUGUGCGCCUCAUAUAACGAGCGAAUCGUCGUAUAUCGCGGAAGCUGGCGGCUCUCCUAGGCUUCCCUCAUCUGGGAUCCCUGGGGAAGAGGAAAGUUGGCCCUUGCGAAUAGCUUGAUGCACUAUCUCCCUUCAACCCUUUGAGCGAAAUGUGGCAAAAGGAAGCGAAAUGUGGCAAAAGGAAGGAAAAUCCAUGGACCGACCCCAUUGUCUCCACCCCAUAGAAACUACGAGAUCACCCCAAGGACGCCUUCGGCGCUCAAUUUUUCGUGCUCUUGCUACAGUUAAACGAUCCUCCUCCGAUAAUUCAUCGACCCACAAGUCACACUCUCCCACGUGGAGUGCUUACCACAAGCUCUAGCACUUGACCCGGCCGGACCACUUGUCACUCUUCGCGUCUCGCUCUACUAGAGUUGCUUCCCUCUCGACUUUGGAUCUUAGCACCCAAUCAGUCUGUCUGUACUAAGGGCUCACUUCCUUCAAUUAAAUCAACUAAUUUCUAGUUUCCUUUGGCGCCAAACAAUGCUAGGGUUUGCCCUGAACUCGCGCCUUUCGGCCUGAUCUUAGACCCUGACUCACCCUUCGUGGACGAACCUUGCGGAGGAAACCUUGGGUUUUUGGACUCCGUUGCAUUGCCAGAAUUCAUGUUCCAUAUUUGAAGCGGGUUGACCUCUGUGCUUCUCUCCAAUAGACUCCUUUUCGGGAGUGAUUCAUCCUUCCCGAACGCAGCAUACAACUCUCUGUUGUACCGCGCUCUUCAAGUGUGCUUCUUUCCUAUUAUUUUCAAAAUAUGAGCGUAUUGAUAGUUGGAUCAUAAAAGCCGGGGCAUGUUCGGUUAAUCCGGAUUGGACUCCUGAAUUAAUUAUAACCUGGAAUCUUCUUCUGAUAAUUUAUCGUGGAUUUCAUCUCCUGGGAGAAUCCAGGUGGAAGGAGGAACGAACGAGCCUGAGAUUGGUUGGCCUAAUUUAUCCACAAUCCAGAGCCGUGUCAAUCUGGCGUGACACGUCAUACAGAGAGGAUGGCGUAGGAGCGUCUCCGUGCAUGUCGGCACGCCGCUCAGAUCCAUAUACACGGUUCAUAUACAGGGAGGAUGCAUGUUGGAUUUCGUUUUAUUUUAUGAUAAAUUUGACUUCAAUCUACUCGGAGUAUCAUCCAGAUUCAGAGCAUCUACUGGCAUAAGUCCUGUCAGUCUAUGAAAGAUCUACAUGACAUGAUAUAUGGUUGUUUUUUCCAUCAAAACUUUCAUCAACUAUGUUGUCUCCACUGUAAAUUACAAAACUCAAAGUGCAUGUUAUAGUUCUUUUUUGUUGGCUGUCAGUAUUUUAUUUACAACCUGAAGGUCAUGUGCCUCUCACCUGUGUGACACACUGACACUGACACUUGUUCAUAAGAUGAAAAGAUGAAGGAUAUUUUCGCCUUCAUCAGUGUCCAUGGAUCAACGGGCCCACUCUCUGACGUGGAUGUAUCAUGUGCUAGGUCAUCUUUUUUGACGCCCAUAAUGUGUGCACUGCACUCAAUACCUCUGAGGAAUUUCCCUACUCCUUCCUCCAUGAAUAGUUUGGCGCCAACUAGUCAAGACAGAAUGAACCUGAAAUUUACCUGGACACUAGUAUUCUAAUCCUCCUGUCAGUCCACACCAUAUGAUAGCAUGCUGACUUUGCAUCUUCCAUCCAGGUGAAGCAACUUGAAUAACUAAUCCAAGUUGUUGCAAGGUUUUUAUUUUACGGUUUGAAACAGCCACCGGCCAUCACCGUCAUAAUCACACAUUGUCCCAAUUCCCAAGUAAGUGAGGAAGUUGAGGAAUCCACGGUCCACAUGCAUGGCCAGUGUGUGUACUAGCUGGACUGGAGUAGAGAUGGCGUCUUCUGUGGGCACAAAAAGCAUUGGCCGGCCCUGAAGAAAUGCAUCCGGCAUUUCCUGCGCAAAAGCCUCUUGUUUCUAUAUAUGUGUUGGUCGUCCAGCCCUACAUCUGCUCAGAACAGCUGUUUUUUCUCCCUGGCUUUCAGAGCUGUACAAGUUUCUAAAAAUAAGGAAGCGGAAUCCCAAGAAGUUACCAAAAGAAAAGGAAUUCCAUUUAGGCCUUGUUUACUUCACAGAAAAUUUUGCAAAAUUUUUUACAUUCUCCGUCACAUCGAAUCUUUAGACGCAUGCAUGAAAUAUUAAAUAUAGACGAAAAAAAACUAAUUACACAAUUUGGUCGAAAUUGACGAGACGAAUCUUUUGAGCCUAGUUAGUGUAUGAUUGGAUAAUAUUUGUCAAAUACAAACGAAAGUGCUACAGUACCUGUUUUGCAAAAAAUUUUUAACUAAACAAGGCCUUAACGGUUCUUGUUUUUGGAGAGUUUUAAUGUUGAAAAUGUGUAGGGAAAAGAGGAAUUUCAAAGGAGUCUGCUUUGUGCCCGAGUUUUUGUGUUAAAUAAUCAAUCGCUAACAGGCGGUGAUCUCAUCCCACAGAUCGAUGAUGUGGUGAAGUCUAAUGUCCAUUUCAUCCACCGAUAUCAUGACAAAUUACCGUUAUCACCAGGAUAGAGGUGUCAGUUUUCGUAGCAUUGUUCGAUAUCAUGACAAAGCACCGUUAUCACCGGGGUAUCAGUUUCAGUAGCGUUAUCCCUGAACAAAAGCCAACCCCACCCCCUCUCCCGGGUGACAGUUCAUCGUGUUACGGUGUUACGACAUUUGAAAAAAAAAAUUAGAAUGUUGUGCAAUUGAAAUCCUAUAGGAAAUCUAGAAUGUGUAGAAGUUAGAAAUAAAUUUUUGGAUAGCACAUAGAAUCCUAAUCCUAAAAUACAGAUGUGAAAAUAAAAUUGUCCGUGUAAUCUUUUAUUCAAAGGUGCGGGAACAAUAAAAAUCUUUAAUCAUUUUGAUCUUUACCAUUUAGUCAUGGAUUCUAGGUAUUUGAGUUUUUUUUUUCAAAAUUCCCCUAAUCAUUGGGUUUUUAGAUGUCCUACACUUCUAAAUGGAACCGCAUACACGUACUCUUACAAAAUUCAAGUCCACAAGAGCAAAACAUACACAUACUCUUACAAAAUUCAAGUCCACAAGAGCAAAACAAAACACAAAGAGGCAAUCCCACCUUCUGCCCUCUAGCUGGAGAGCGAGAAGUUGCACGGGCUAGGGGUGGGAAUCUAGUCUGGCCCUAUAUUUUUGACUCCAUGGUUUUGACAUUUCAAAAAUGCAGUCCUUGACAAUUAUAAACUGAUCAUAGUGUCAUAACAAUGAGACCACAACUCAGUUCUCUGAGCAUUUGGUAAGUUCUAUCCUUGAAAAAGGUGGUUGUGUUGUAGACUGAUAGUUGAAUUAUGGGUAGAAGGAGAUAUGUCACGAGUAGAAUGGAAAUGAUGGGAUGACCAAGAUUGGCACGGGGAGUGAGCAAAUAUAAGAGAGUACAACAUAAAAAAAAACAAAGUAAUCAAGGAUCCACCAGAUUCAGGUUUUGCAAAACCUCUCAUCAAAAUUAUUCUCAUCCCUUCAAGAAUUUACCUUAAAUGCAAGAGAUCAUCCCUUCAAACUGCCCUAAACAGCCUCAUAGGAUUAUCGAAAUUUUCCCUUAUAUAAGAUAAAAUUAGACCCUUAAAAAAUAGUGUUUCCAUCUUCUCCAAAAUAAAUUUAAUAGCGUUUUUUUAUCUACUCCAAAGGAGCCUCCACAUGUGUUUGAGGCGAGUACAGUUCCCGUGGGUUGUGCUUCAUCAGCGACGUGGUCAGUGGAAGAAUCGAAGCGUCACAUCAGCGCCGGCCAUGAUCGCUCUACCAAGGCCUGUUUGGUUAAAAAAAAUUUCAAAAUUCUCCGUCACAUCGAAUUUUGCAGCAUAUGUAUGUUGCAUUAAAUAUAUAUGAAAAUAAAAACUAAUUUCACAGUUCAUCUGUAAAUCGCGAGAUGAAUUUUUUAAGUCUAGUUAUUCCAUGAUUGAACAAUGUUUGUCAAAUAAAAUGAAAGUACUACAGUGUCGAAAUCCAAAAAUUUUUGCGAAAUGAACAAGGCCCAAGCAAACAACAAAUCAAUUUAUGGCUGUGUUUGGAUACUCUAACUCGGCUAGGGGUUAGAGUUAGUUUUUAGUCCAAGACUAGCCUAGAACUAGCUCUAGCUGAAGACGUUUUGGAUGCAAGAGUUAGAAUGACAAUAAAUACGACGAAUCGACGGCAGAUCGAUUGCUAGGGAAGAUAAGCUCGAUCCUGUGUGGCCUGAGUUGGAGAAAAAAAAAAAUUGAUGUGGGCCCAACCAGAACUAGCCCAAAUAAUCGCCCCUUCGAAGGGAUAGUGUUUUUGAGUGGGCUAGUUGUAAAAAACUAGCUCUAGCCCUUUGGCUACUUUUAGACUAGUUGAGCCUAAACUAGCAUCCAACAUCAGUUAGAGAUUAGGUCAGUCUCAAUGCAUGUUUCAUGAGAGUGUCAAGCACAUUAAAUAGGGUGCCACAUAAACAAAAUUGCUGACUUGGCAGGGUCAUUAAAUGAAGGAGUUUCAUCAGAUGAGAGAGGAGUUUCAUCCCCAUGAAACUCUUGUGGCUCGGUUACCUAGUUUAUAGUCUUGGUAAUUGUGCAAUGAAACUAUGCAUUGAGACUGGCCUUAGAGUUAAGUUUUUGGCCUAGGACUAGCCUAGAACUAGCUCUAGUUGAAGACGUGUUUGGAUGCAAGGGUUAGAAUGACAAUAAAUAGGCAUAUCGGUGCGAGAGUGGAUCGGUGCGGCAGAUCGAUCGCUAGGGAAGAGAAUAAGCUCGAUCGUAUAUGGUCUGAGUUGGAGAAAAAAAGAAUUGAUGAACCCAACCAGAACUAGUUCAAAUAAUUAUCCUUUUGAAGGGAUAAUUUUUUUUUAAAUGAGCUAGUUGCAAAAAACUAGCUCGCCCUUCUGUUUGGCUAUUUUGGGCUGGUUGAGUCUAAACUAGCGCAAACUAGCUCUAGCCUCUAAAUCCAAACAGGACCUUUGUUAAAAAAAAAACGGUUGUGCUGCUUCAGCAUCUCCUCCUCCCGCUCCCGUGUCCCGUUACUCUGCCGCAGCGUGCUCCUCGACCUCGCUAAAAGCCAACUGGAGUAGUAGCCAACCGCCCUCCUCUCCCUUCCCUCCCUCACGCACAAAGCAGAGCAGGCAACGGCACAGCACAGCACAGCACAGGUAGAGAGAGAAAGAGGAGCGCAGAGCCAAAGAAGCAGAGCAACAGCAGCAGGUCGAGGAAGAAGAGAAGGGAAGAGGAAGAGGAGAGAAGGCCAGGAGGCAGCAGCAACCAAGAAGGGGGAAGAGAGCAAGAUGCUGCGCGGGGGCACGAGCGUGCUGGGGAUCAUCAACUUCAUCACCUUCCUGAUCUCGAUCCCGAUCCUAGGCGGCGGCAUCUGGCUAGCCUCGCGUGCCAACUCCACCGACUGCAUCCGCUUCCUGCAGUGGCCCAUCAUCGUCGUGGGUCUCGUCCUCAUGGUCAUCUCCCUCAUGGGCUUCGCCGGCGCCUGCUACCGCCAGACCUGGCUCCUCCGCCUCUACCUCUUCGCCAUGUUCUUCGUCGUCCUCGCCCUCCUCUUCUUCAUCGUCUUCGCCUUCGCCGUCACCGACCGCGGCGACGGACAGGUCGUCAUGAACCGCCGGUUCCCCGAGUACCAGCUCUCCGACUACAGCGGCUGGCUCCGCGACCGCGUCGCUGACCCGGAGUACUGGGCCACCAUCAGCGCUUGCCUCCGCGACGGCCACGCCUGCGCCGGCAUGAGGCGCCUCGCAAGGGACCCCAACACCGGCAUGCUCGUGCCGGAGACGCCUGCCAUGUUCUACGGCCGCAACCUCUCCCCGAUUCAGGUCCGCUUUUUAACCCCCCCAAUCCCUCCUCGCUUUCCUUCUUUAUUAUCUUCCUCUUUCCUUCUUUCUCUUUCCUUUUCCCCAUCAAAAGGAAAAAUAGAUUCGUCAGUUCUUCUUGCCACCCUUGCUUUCCAUGAGCGAUUCAUUUGAUUUCCAUGUGUGAUUCAAAAAAUUCCUUCGUACGCUAAGGAAAGAUUAGAUUUUAUUCAAGUUUUAUUGUUGUUCUACCUACUAGUAGUGCACAAAAGUCGGGAUUUUUUAUUUGUGAUGAUUCAGCGAUUUUAUUCAAGUUUUAUUGUUGUCCUCUGCAGUACUAGUUUAGGGGGAAACACAAAAAAAGGGCUGCAUUUUUUGUGUGUCAAUUUUCCACGGAAAGAGGUCAUCAAUCAAUCAAGAGGGUAAACAUUAAUCUAAUAAUCCAGGUUCUUCCUGACCUUUGAUUGCUUGUUGCAAAGGUGGCGUAGGAUAUUCCAGUUACUUCUACUCGGCACCAGUGUGGCAGUGUGGAUCUCGAAAUAAACUUUGCUUGCCCCUUUCAUCAGCAGCCAGCCCCCUUUCGGCUUAGCAAAUCAUGACCUUUACUAGUAUUUAAUUUGUUCAUUCAUCGUGCAGCAGCUUCCACCUUUCAGAAAUUGUUAAUGCAUCGGGCCUUUUGCUUGUUCCUGAUUUGGGGCAAAGCAAAGCAGCUAGAAGGGUCACUGACUUUGCCAGCCCCUUCGAUUCCAGCAUAUACCUUUCUUCAAAAGCAAUCCUUUUCCCUGCUUUAUUUACUUUGGUUCUCUGAAUUGCUUUACAUCACGGGAAGAAAUUCCGUGCAUAAUUCUGUACCAGGUGUCUGUAAGUACAAAACCUUUUGGCUGAUUAGAGACUCAAAUCAUGGAUGGGGAAACAAAUCUGCAUCAUCCAUUCUAUGAUGGUGAAACAUGUCACUAAUAUCUUUCACUACACAAACCUGGAACUAUAUAUCUCCGAAAGAAAGUGACCUUUUUUCCAUUGAACAAAUUUGUAUACUUAUUACUAGUACCUCUCAACUGCACACACCUAAGUCGCUUAAGCAGUAAGCAUCCCCAUGACUCAUUGGUCAAUUGAGUCGUGGUCCAGUGACCAGUCAGUAAGUCAGUUAUUUCCCAAGUCACCACUGCAGUGCAAAGAACGGGAAGCACCAGGAAUUGACACUAUUGCAGUGGUAAGUAGAAUCUGGUGUCUGUUUGAGGCUGAGGAUAAUGUCAUUGUCCUAGCUUUUUCCUCAUCUCUCCGGAUGCCAGACGACAUGGAGGCCCACAAUAAUUUUAUGAUUGAGGAAUCAGGGCCUCUCUCAGCGUCCUACCAAAUACACCAGUGUGACCACGACAGCCAAAAGCCACUUGCUAGGUGUUACAUUUCAGAGUUGGAAUUGGGACCAUGGAAGCCUUACCUUGCUUGUCAUUAUAUUCUCUAUGCUGUCUUUUCUAGCCGUGAGUGUUUUUCUUUUCCUCGUUACAGUCUCACAAAUUACUUGCAAAUAUACAUUUUGGAUUUUGCCCUUUGGUUAUUUUCUGUAGAGAUGAUACUCUACAUUACAUGUUGUGUUUAUACUGGGACACAGAAUAUCUAUUAUUCAUGUUGAAUGACUUAUUGUAUAUGAUGGUUGGUCAGUGGGUGGAGUAAAAAUGUAAGGGCUUGUGAUAAUUGUUAAUUUUAUACCUGUUGCAGUAUGCAGGCACCCAUCAAAUGCUUGUUAAAUGUUUGGUUCUUUAGUGGUGUUAGUUUGUUUUUUCUUGUGCGUGAACAGAUGGAGUAUGUUUUAUGUUCUUCAGAUUGUAGUUAUACAGGCUUGGAUAGUUUCCUAGUGAGUAUGGGAUCCACCUUUCUUUCUUUUUGUAGUCGUCAACUUUUAUCUUGAUUGGGAGGCCAAGACAUCAUUAAUCUAGGUGAUGAUAAUAAUGGAUAACUGAUGAUCAUAUUGUCCAGCCUGAUGCUAUCAAUAUCAUAAGGAACUUAUUGCCAUUUUAGUGCUACUGUUUUUGCUCAUCUCAAUUAUUGUUUGAUGUAGAUUUCUUUGAAGAUAAACUGUUUUCUGACUGUUCUGUCAAAAAUUGUGGAAGCUAAUUAGCUGCAAGAGGCUUUUAGUUCAGAGGCCAAGUAUUUCAGGACAAUGAGUUGUCUUCAAGCUCUUAAACAACAUAAUGCUUCAAUAUUACAUUUUGGUUUUGCUAGUGAAAUGAGUUUUGGUUUUACCUGAGUGACUUCUUUGUCUCUCAGAGUAACAGAUUGUGCUCUCUCUCUCUCUCUGAAUGAUUGUGUGGUCUCUCAGGACACGGUUUCUGUUCAUUUCAAUUGUUGUUCAAUGUAAAUUUGCUUGAAGAUGCAUCAUCUUUUAUGUCUGAAUUGAGACGUUCAAUUGCCUGCAAGAACUUUAGUGUAGACGCUGAGUACCUCUUGUUGAUGAGCUGUCUUCAGACUCUUAAGCAAGCAUAAAUGUUUUUUUGAUUCUUGCGUGUUAUAUUUGGUUUAGUUGGUAGAAUUAGUUUCUAUGUCUACAGAAUUGCAUUGAGUUCUUUUUCUCUCAGAACAACUGAUUAGCCGUCUGAUUUCUCAGGAUACUAACUGAUAUAAUUUUUGUGACUGACUAUUGCAGUCUGGAUGCUGCAAGCCACCGACAUCAUGUGCAUUCACCUAUAUGAACGAGACGUACUGGACACAAAACCCUGGUGUGCCGACUGUGAUGAAUGACCCUGACUGCAGCAGGUGGAGCAACGACCAGCAGAUGCUGUGCUUCCAGUGCGACUCAUGCAAGGCUGGCGUCCUAGCGGGCAUCAAGAAGAGCUGGCGCAAGGUGGCCAUCCUGAACAUCGUGGUGUUGAUCAUCCUUGUGAUUGUCUAUGUCGCGGGCUGUGCCGCAUUCCGCAAUGCCAAGAGGAUCGAGAAUGACGAGCCGAUCGGCAUGGCACGGAUGACCAAGUCCCAUCCUAGCAGGUUCCAGUUCUAGGCAGCUGCUGCUGCGGGUUUGGAAGCUUUUGCCUUGUACAAAUGAUCACAAUGGGUGGUGCUAAGGCUUAGGCUUUGUUAUAUCUUACUGAAAUGUGGAUUCUACUGCAUUUGGUGGUGAAAAGGGGAAGUUCAGUGUGGUUUGAGUUUGUGUUUGUGUUUGCUUUAGUGUUUAGGGUAGGCCUAUUAUGUUGUAGGGGUACAAUAUGAGAUCUGCAAAGAACAAGAGAAGUUAAAUCAUCUAGGAGCUGUUCUGUAUUGGAGAUUUUUAAAUUCUGGGGGAUAGUUGUAUGAUGGUGCCAGUCAUGAUGGAAUAUUUUCUGAAUAUCUCACUGUAUGGCAAUACUAGAGGUGUGAUGAGAUGGCUGUACUGCAGCUUCCAGUAGGAAUGUAGGAUUCUUCACAAAUUGUUUUUUGAUUUUCUCCACAAACUGUUCACUGCUCAAGUUACAGGCAGGAAUGCGUUUUGCUUCGGCUUUGUGAGAUAACAGUAUGUGAGCAUUCUGCUUCGGCUGUUGCAACCUGUCGAUUGUCAGAGGCCAAGGCCCAGGUGGUCUCUGUGGGCCCUCCUUUUAGCCUACAAAAUCCUUUAUGAGUGAAACCAUGCAAGCCCAACAACAAAAACACAUCCAGGUCCAUAAGUAAAUACAGGUCGGAGUUCCACGUCUAAAUUAGCAUCUGAGGCCCAUCACAAGUUUCUAAAAAAAGCUGAGGCCCAUCACAAAUGUUUUACAAGAUCCAUUGCCAAAUUUAACGUCGCCGGAGUUCUAACGAAGUCAGUGCCAGAGUCAAGCUUGACUGCUUAAACCAAUCAAUCUAAGAAAAAGAUUCUAGUUCUAGAAAAGCGUAUGAUUGAGCUCACUUUACCAUUUAUGCCCAUCCAAAAGAGUUCUGAAAGGGUUAAUACACACGUCAACAACACAGCACAUGCAUGACAUGCCAGUGAGAAUGCAGGGACUAACUGACUGGCUGACUGAUUUGAAGCUCAUUAGCAUGUUACCCCUGGUAAUCCAACUAUUGACAUGUAGACAUUAGACAAUGCUGCCCCCAAAUCCCAAAUUCAAAGUCUGAAACCAGAUGAGCUUUGUUCCAUGCAAGGAGAAGGAUUUGAUCAAGGACAGGGACUGACUAACCCAUGUGAAUGUGCAAGACUGAAAUGAAACCAGUUAAAGCCUAAAGCAGUGUGCACUUGGCAAGCUGGCAUGCAUCCGGAGCGGCUCAUUUCUCCGGUUCAAACGCAUCACUUUGAUCCCACGCAGAAAAACCCGGCGGCGCCCUCAUGCUGCUUUGUUCUGUAGCAGGGGAGUCAAAGGCUUGAAGCAGCAGCCAUGAAAGGACACUGACUGCCAUGCUGUUGACAUCUCUGCUGACGAUGUUCAGGAGGUUGUUGACUGUCGUCCCUGAUGGAGAACAGACAGGGUCUCCUAGAAUUCUGGGCUGGCGGAAAUAUCUGAACUGGAUGCCAACGCCAUGCAUGGUUGCGGCGCGUGCAUGCACGCGUUUCUGUUCAUGCAUGGACGAUGGCAAUCUGAUUGAUGGAUCACGCGUUUAAUUUGCAUGUGGAUUGACGGGUAGUUUGGUUUUGAUUUGGAAGCAUUUGCAAGCAUGUUAUAUUGUCAUGCAUGUGUGAUGUGUUUUAAUUAUCUUUCCAGCUGGAUAAGGCCGGCAGCACUCGUCGUCAAUUUUGUUAGGUUGUUUGUUCUUUGCUUUUUCCUUGCUUACUGCUACUGCCUACUCCUGAAUAUGAACUGCAUUACUUUGAUUAGACAUAACUUGAAAAGGUUCAGUCUCUGUUUCGAGGUAAUGACAUGUACUUUCUUAUGGAUGUGAACUCCUUUUUUCAGUAAGUAAACGAGCUGCUGAGUAAGCUGUGAUGACACUUUUCUCACGGAUGUGAACUCUUUUUUUCAGUAAGUAAACGAGCUGCUGAGUAAGCUGAUGGCUACGUGUACCUUAAGAUGCUCAUGAAGUUAUAACUUUCUCCAUACAUGUUUUUAAAUUGUGUUAUGCACUAAAAAUAUGAAAAAAAAACCUAAGCCAAAGUGAACACAUUAUCUACUUCUAUAUUCAAUACAGUAUAAGAGAAUUAUAAAUGAAACGAGUCAUGUAAAUGUACUUGACAUUGCUAGCUCUAGCUCUAGAUCUAGGAUUUUCUAGAGCUACAGACACCCAGCUCUAGUAAUCCACAGAUUUUUUUUAGAGUUGGAGCUCUGUCAAACAAGAUCCUAAUAUGACAUGUAAUUUAAAACAAAAGGAGUAAAUAUUAUCUUAUAAAUUUAUAUAAAAAAUCGAUAUGUUUAUAGACAAUGGUAAAAAAAAGUUUGACUUGGAACUAUCCUGUAUGAAUUUCAUAUUCAUGUCAGUACGAAGUAAAAUGUUUUGUGCCGGUGCGUGAGCAGGGAUUGAUAAACUAAUUAAGAACAAACUAGAUCUCCUUGUUAUUACUAGUUUUCAACUCUGGACAAAUUUUUAAUUACGUGCCACCUCACCUAGCUAGCUAAGACGAUGAACCUAAGUUAGGUCAAUGUCCAACGCAUCUCUGCUAGGAGCUAGUUUAGCUCAUGCUGUUUGAUGUCCUUGAUUACCCAAUUGUACAUAGGUAAAGAGCUAGUGUUAGUACUACAACCAUUGUCUACCCAAUUAAAGAAUCAAACCAAUUGGACAUUUCCCCCUUUUCUUUCAGGAAUAGACUACACACAUGUUGAUAGUAGGAACUUAAAUACAACUAUUUCUAAAGGCAGGGCAGAUCAACAUAUAAAUUCUAAGCCUGGAGAAUGUGCGUGCUGCAUCCUCAGUUCGUCAUCAGCAGCACUCUAUUGGGCACGCUCUGAUGACAUUUCAACAGGCAGUACGGCCAUUUGACCACUGCUAAGCAAUUUGGUCAAUCAACUAGGGAAUUAUUCUGAUUCCGUUCCGAUCGAAUUUAUAUAUAUAACGGCUGCCGGGACCCGGAAAUCUCAAGGUUUUCAAAGAUCCAGCAGUCCUGUUUUUCGUACAUUAUUCUACCAGUCAUGAACAGGCUGACUCUCUGGAGGCAAAAAGGUCAUGAGAUACCAACUACUAAUAAUGCUCAAAGAUCGAGUGAAGUCCUUGCUAGUUUACAUGUACUGGACCGUCACUCACUCCUGCAUGCAUCUGCAUGACAGCGUAGAUAACACUAUGGACAUUUAUAUUAGUUUUGAAGCAAAAAAAAUGUCAUCUCAUGCUUUGGCACGACAUUGCUUUGUUCGCUAGGCAGGGCCGCGGCAUGAGUUCAGACAUCUGAUCCUCGGAGAAGUUCACAUGCGCCGAUCCAGCAUUUGGCAUUUAUUCUUGUUGACACUGGUCAUCAAGCUGCCAAAUGAAAUGUUCAGAUAUCUCUGUAUGUGUCUCCUGAUAGACGACGACAAAUCCAUCUCAACCAACUCUUUUGCAGAUAUGUGAACCGGAAAUUGUUGUUAACGGCGGCACUCAUGGGCUUCAUGGCCGGUCAUGCAUGCAAAUCUCCUUUGCCGACUGUCGCAUGUCGAUCGAAGCCUGACAGGUGGAGAUGGCGCCAAGCCAAGUUUCAAAUGUCAGCAUGGGCAUGCAUGCAUGCAGAUAUAAAAUUCCGUCGUCCUCUUGUGGAAAAUGCAGCAGGAGUGUUGAAUGUUGAUAGCAAUGCAUGCAGCGCUAUAUAGCUGUCUUUUUAACAUUUUCUUCCACGCCUUGUUUACUUCCAAAAUAUUUUGCAAAAUUUUUCAAGAUUGUUCGUCACAUUGAAUCUUACAUAGAGAUGUCAAUGGGUACCCGAAACCCGAAACUCGAUGGGUUUUUACUUUAUUAGGGUAAGGAUUUGGGUCAAUUUCUCUACCCAUAGGUUCGUUAAUGAGCAAAAUGCUAGACCCAGCGGGUUUGUGGGCAUAGAUCUGGGAGUGUAGUACCCAAACUCGUGAGCCCAUAGGUUUUUCAAACCCAUAACUUAUAUUUAGAUAAUCAUAAACAUUUUGUAAAAGAUUAAUUAAGAAAAAAGAACUAAGAAAAGGAUAGCUGAUAUAUGCCUAACCACUAGCACGUUGGUACUGCAUGGGUGUUGAUACAGUUGUGGCCUAGUUAAGCCAGUAGCCUUUGGUGGAGAUGGAUAGAGGCGGCAGUAGCACACUACACACAAUAGUGCUUCAUUUUGAUCGUCAGCCUCCAAUCCAUGGCAUGGUUGGGAGGAAAAUAAAAUUAGCUAUUUACAACAACUAUAGCUAUUUAUUUUUGUAUGUAUAUAUAUAUAUAUAUUAUUCUCAUAUAUAUACUACUUGAGUCUAUUGUUACUGUUGGGCAUGGGCGACCCGUGGGUACCUGAAACCCACGUGGGCACGGGUUUGGGUCAAAUGUUGCACCCGUCAUGGGUCAUGGGUUUUUUAAUAAGUUUAUAUAAUUUUUAUGGACACAGGUUUAGGAUAGUAAAACCAGCGGGUUUGUGCCCGUUGCCAUCUUUAAUCUUACGGCACAUGCACAUGUUUGGAGCAUUAAAUAUAGAUAAAAAAAAUAAUUAAUUGUACCGUUUGUAUGUAAUUUGUGAGACUGAAUCUUUUGAGUCCAGUUAGUUUAUGAUUAGACAAUAUUUGUCAAAUACAAACGAAAGUGUUAUAGUAGUGUUUUUCAAAAAAAAUUACAAACUAAACAAGGCCCAAUUGCUGCUUCCAGUCGUCUUCCAGAAUCCAGGAUGCAGUUAUAAAGCAGCGCAAGCAAUGACACACUGAAAAUUGCAGGCACCAGCAGUUGCAGUGUGCAGACACAACUGAACUGGCACUGUCAGCUCCAGCAGAACUCUUGCGGCAACGCAUGCAAGCUUUUUGUAGGAUCCAUAUAUCCAUUAAUUAAGCAAAUACUAAUAAGUACAUACUAAGGCCUUGUUUAGUUCCGAAAAGUAAAAAGUUUUCGGUACUGUAGCACUUUCGUUUGUUUAUGAUAAAUAUUAUCCAAUCAUAGACUAACUAGUAUCAAAAGAUUCAUCUUGUGAUUUACAGCUAAAUUGUGUAAUUAGUUUUUAUUUUCGUCUAUAUUUAAUGUUUCAUGCAUGUGCUACAAGAUUCGAUGUGACGGGGAAUCUUGAAAACUUUUUGGUUUUUAAGGUGAACUAAACAAGGCCUAACAUUAUAUACAUUAUUUCUACAUGUUGGUUUGGCACUGGACUUUGGAACCACCUGCAUGUGGUCCAGUCGUCCAGAUAAGGUCGUUAGGUAGUAGGUUAACUUGUUUAUUUGGUAAUUUUUCUCCUGUCUGUCUAUCUAUGUAUUGUCCUACUAUGAUUAGACGUAACUAAAAGAGGUUAAGAACUGUAAAUUGGACUGACAUGCAUGUAACCUGGCAACUAUAGGAACCCUAUAGUUUUCAGCAGGUACAAAAGACAAGUAUAGUCUCCGUCGUAGUUUAGCUUCCCCAGUUGAACUCUAGAAGAGUUUUCUUUUUAUCUGAAUCUGUCAGUCAUCAGAAUUUUCUCCACACGGUUGACAGUUCUUUAAAUUAUCGGUCUGAACCUGAAUCAGGCAAGUUAGGUCAGUGUACUGUGUACAACGCAUUAUAUUUGUGACUUUGUGUUGCUUGCAAGCUGGUAGCUAUAUUAUGCUAAAAAUCCAUGCCUGUUUGCUAUUUAGUAAUCUGUACUGUGUUCAUAUAUAGCUUUGUUAUAACCAUUCAGAGAGCAUCAAAUUAAAUAGGCUAAUUAUAAUAAUGGCAUACAUCGUACUAUUUGUUUUGACCAAUUAAUGAAUGAAUGAUGUAAACUGCAUUAUUAUUCCUUUUGCUUGAGAUCGAUGUGCACGAUAAGUUGUUGACACUACUAUUAUGGUCCAUCGGGGACAAGGAAGCAACAACUAAUACAGCAAGGCGAAGUAGAUGUCUGAACUCUGAACACCUUUGUUUGUUUUCAGAACCAAGUAGUCUAGCCAGUGGAAAUAAAUAUAUUUAUAUGUUGGAUGGACAACCGGGAACCAAACAAAUCUUAAUGUGGCAUUAUAUAUUGUUUAUUCAGAAUUAGUAUACGAACAAGCAGCAUUAUUCCAUACUCAGCAACAAUGUUACAGAGGAGCAGUGUUAUACACUCAUACACAACAACAAUUUUGUACAAAAUUAAGAGCAGAAGUUUGUCGUUCGUUCCCAAGCGAACAAAAACUCAACAUUCAGAGGGAUUUGUCACUCAAAUUGCUUCAACAAACCCCAACCACGUUAACCCUUUGGUUAAUUAGGAAUUAAUUAUGACAUCCAACCGAGUAAAUAAAACUUACUACACACUUACCCCCAUACAUAUUGACUGUACGCACGUACGUAUAUGUAACUGUAUGUAUACAUAUGCAUAUACAGACCAGCUAGAUUAAUUAUACUUGGGCGUUGAUUGCAUUGACGAACAAAGCGCAGUUGGCAGUCGUAGGUGCAGUGCAGGGAUUGAUGGAGCUCAUGUCCAGAGCGCCUCGUCGGCCCAGCUGACGGGGCUGCCGACCUGCAUCUGCAAGGCAGCACCGGCGCCGUCGACGACGUAGAGCGCGUCGGCGGCCAUCAUGGGGUUGGCGACGACCGCUAGCUGAUGAUGCGAGGAGGAGGAGUAGUCGGCGGCGCCGCAGUAGGACGGCGGCGAGGCGGUGGCGGCGACCUCGACGCAGAGGAGCGCGAGGAGGUGCGCGUGCUGGGCGCGGGCGCCGGCGAGCUCGGCGUGGGCGCGCGCCAGCUGCGCCUUGAGUUCGUUGACCUGCUUCUGCAGCUGGCAGAUGGCGCCGGCGCAGCCGUACACGGGGUCCCGGAUGCGCGCCGCCGCCUCGUACACCAUGCUGCUCACCGCGUCCGCACGGUGCUCCUCCGGCAGCUCCUGCAUGUGGCAUGUGCAUGCUCGAUCGGUCCGUCAGCCGCCUCAAUCAUAUCAUGCAUGCGUGUGCGUGUGUGUGUGCUUGCUGCUUGCAGCACGUUCAGUCAGACAAUGGCGACAAAUUAAGAUCGUCGACGACUGACCUGGAGGAGCUUGAUGAUGUUGCUGGCGCCGAAGACACGGUGCGCGGUGGCGAACUUGUGGGGCUCGGUGGGCGGGAAGUAGGGAGCCAGCACGCAGCGGUCGACGCAGCGGCGGCGGAGGAUCUUGCACGCGGCGCACGGGCUCAGCACCACCGCCGCCGCCGCCGCCGGCUGUGGCGACGAAGGAGGUGACUGCGCCGUGGCCGCGGCCACGGCCACAGCGCAGACGGCCGUGUCGCUGGAGCAGUCCAUUUAGCUGGUUUCUGUGUGGCACGUACGCACAGAUGGAACCUGAGGAGCUUGGAUGGAGCUGGAGAUGGCUUAUUAGUUAGCUUCCGAGUUUGGCGGCAAACGAGUGUAUUUAUAUAGUGGUGAAGAGUGGGCAGCCUAGCUUAGCCUAGCUUAGCUUAGGACUUAUUAGUAAGAGCUAGCAGGACUCAUGGCCUGUCAGUGCCAGUGCCAGUGCCAGCUAAGGUGCCAAAGAUUCGUUCGACCCAUUCAUAGUUACGUUGAUGGUGGUCCAACGAGUGAGGCACUUCUCUUCUCCUACAGUCCUACUAGAAAGGCGGUAAAGUUAUUUUUGUCCUUGAGACCAUAUAUUCUCACUUUCUCUGCUACUAGAUUUACAUUGAGAUGUUAACCUAGAAAGGUGAUCUGUUUGGUCCCCAUAAAAUUCUUCUAGAUAACUUCCAUCAUUCCAUGGUGAAAUGCUUAGAGAUACCAACAAUGUGGCUGAGCGCCUAGAUAGCCAUGUUUGACGUGCUGGACCAACCAAAAGCCUUGGAAUCGAAGCCCAAAAAUUGCUAAAAAAUCCUGGGCAUUUGAGGGGCUCACCGGUGUAGAAAACACAAAGAACUCGAGCUAGAAAAAUGUGUGGCUGCCCCCUGCCAAACCAAAAUAGGUCACACUAAUUUUUUUUAUCACGGAUCAAGCCACUUCUAAUAGCUCAGGUUCAUCAGCACAGAACCUAUGCGACACUCCGUUUUGACAAAUAGAAUUUUGUCAUUAACUCAUCACAAAAAUACUCUUUAUGACAAAUAUCAAUUCUUGAGUGAUGAAAGUUGUUUGUCAUGUCUGAUCACAUCCCUACUAGUGAUGAGAAGCUAACUUUUUAAAGCAUUUCUGGUCUCAAAAUAAGAUACUUGCUGGCCCUUUGGAAUAUAACCUGCAUUUUCCAACCCAAACUAAGCUAUACUUAUUAACAAAGACCAAGAGACAUUCACAUGCCAAAUUUGAAGUACAAUAGAGUAAGUAACUUGGCGGUGGACACUGUAGUCAGAAGUGUCACAACACGGUGCGGCAUAUAUAGCCACUUAUAUAUAGGGUACACGGUUAGUCCACAAAUGAUGACGAGAUGAGAGUUGUUAUUGGCCAAUUAGGCCACCACGUACUACUCCGACAACGGCACAAGGUCGGAUCCAAUUAAGUCUGCCGCGGGUUACUAUGGAGCUGUUUGGUUAGGUAAUUAUUAAUCCCCAACCAAACUUUACGAAGUCAACAUUCAAUUGUUUGAUUGCUUGUAAUUAAGCAGCUUGAAGCUAAACCCAACUAAGCCAUUUUGGAGGUUAGACUGAAUUGACUCUGAAAAGAUGAGAUGAUGAUCCAUUUAUUUCGUAGCAGCUUAAGCCUCUGUUGAAGUCUCCUCACUGUUUGCUGCUUCUCUGACGCUCGUCCCACUAUAGCUAGUUUGCUGGCGCGUCGGCUCCUCCUUCUCCGGCGCUUCUCCCACCGCAUCUGGCUGCAAUGGUUGCGGUCACUGUCUCCAUCACCGACUGCUGCUACCGCGUGACAAGGUGGAUUCCGCCGGAUGGGCGAUGGAGCCCUUGAGGCAGCAGUCUGCACCUCGUCGAUGUAGAGCGGAGUAGCAGCACCCGGUGCCCAGUAGCACCCAUGACAUGAAGCCCAAGAAGCUACCGCGAGAGCAGGAAAAGGGAAAACAGGGAGCUCAGCUUCGUAGUGCCACAUGCUGGCGUGUCAGUCGAGUGCGCGACUGGGCUGACAACAAGCGAGGGCAGAGGCUAGCGACUGUCGUACACGGCACACCACAAGCUCACCUAUAAUCGACGAGCUCGAUCGCCUACAAUCGACCAGCUUGCUCGAUGGAGUGUCUCUAGUUUAAAGCACUGCUCCACACCGGCAAGCUCGCUUACAAUCGACGUCCUCUCCUGAGCUUGAAGUUCCGCUCCACACCGACAAACACACAGACCAUGUGUUUGAUGGAAUGUCUAAGUUUGGUAACCUUACCACCAGGAGAGAAGAGACAAAUUGUAUACACUGCAAACUAGACAACCAACACACUCCCCUUAGGGCAGCUCCAGUGUGAGCAGCGAACCAAACAUGCAAAUUCUGCAAUGCGUCAGACGGUUCGAGACCUGUAGUGUGAGCAUCGAUUGCUAGGACCCACCACUCACCUCUUAAAUAAAUAAAAUAUUGUAUCUUUGCUACUUCGGACUUCUUCCGGCUACAGACUUCUUCGGACCAUGUGCUGCCAAUGUUAUUUUAAUUGGUUCGGUUCGGUUUGUCUGCAACGUUCGCUUUUAGUUCUGACAUGUAUGGUUCGGAAGCUCCAGUGGGCACGGUUCGACUCGAACGUCCCAUGGUUCGCUUUCAACCCAACACUGGAGGUGCUCUUAUGCUAGCUAGGCUUAGAUAAUGCAUGCAACCAAACAGCUAUAUGUUACCUUGCUGAAAGCUAGCUUAGAUUGUCGGCUAAAAAUAAGCCAAGAAACUAAACACAAUCUACGUUUUUGCUCGUUCCACAAACUUAACGCAUGCAUGGGUGAUGUCACGAUGACGAGCGCACCUCCAGUCGCGCAUGCCGCAUUGCCGACCACAUACCACAUUCAUCACCGUAGAUCUUCUCCGUCCAUGCACGUCCUAUCCAUCGAUCCAGCACCUGCCGUCUGCUGCCCUCUCAUCAUCAUCAGCGACGACGGAUCAUCACGCAACACGCAUAGUAUAUGAUUGUACUGUACAUCAUCUACAUCUAGAAAUAAUAACAUCUCUGUGGUAAUAUAAUCCUUCCACCUAAAACAGAAUAGAAUUCCCGCGCUCCAAAAGAGUCAAAUAAUUUUAAUUUUAAUCACAUUUAUAUGAAAAAUUGCUACUUCCUUCCUCUUUGAAUUAUAAAUCACUUUGUUUUUUUCAGUGAUAUAUAAUCUGAAUUCUAUAUUAGGAAAAGAGGGAUGCUUAGAUCUUGAAUUAUUUUUCAUAGCAUUAUUUUUAAGAACGUAAUGCAAUAAAAUAUGGAUGAAAUCAUCAUAUUUUUAUUAUUUUAUUUGAUAGACUUUAAUUAUAUGACUCAUUUUGAGUUGGUAACUGAGUUAAGAGUAUUUCACUUCUUUUCUCUAUUUGUAUAAACAUUGUCACAUCAUAAAGACGCUUAUAUAACAGCCUAUAAAAUACAAAUGAAAUUCUAAGACCAGUCUAUUUGGAGUUUCAGUAGAGUUUCAUGUGCAUCAAAUAUGCUGAUGAUGUGAUACCAUAUUAAUGAAGAAAAAUAUGAUAAGAGUUUUAUAAAAGUAGAGAGAGUUUUAUGGGCAUGAAAAUGUUCUGCACACACUAAAGAUGGCUUAAUAAAACUUCUACCUUGCUGUCAUAGACCGUGUUAUGCAAUCAUAGCUGAGACACGUUGCAUGUACACUUGUGGGCGCAAGCGCAAGCGCAACGCAUAUAUUACACAGCAGUGCACUACGGUACCGUGGGUUGCAUUGGAGCCCCACCACGUACACAGGCCCGAAACGAGUCAAGGAUUACCGGAUUUCUCCUUGAUGACAUGCAUGGAUGGAUGCACCAAUUUAUAUGCCGUCGUGUUUGUCCUUGCAAUGGACUCGAUCUCAAUUUCUAAAGUUCAUAUAAUUGUUUAUACGCAUCCCGUGUGGACCUUACACACGCCCGCCACAAACUAGUAGUACUUGAAUAAUAUAAAAUAGUAUACGCUUUUAGACUAAUAAUCAUAGUUUGCCACCUGAAAAUUUUAGAAAGGUUCGUUCGACCUGAAUUAACCAAACUUGAGACCUCUUUCACUUUUGCGGUCAAGAUCAAAUUACCUGCCAGAAAGAAAGUAACUUAAAGUGGUGCCGAAAUGCCAAUAAGCAGCACCUUCCCAAAUCAUGGAAGUUCCUGUUUUCAAUAGUGCAAAUGAUUUUGCAAAAAACUGAAACUCUGCUAGAGAAAUAUAUUUCCACAAAACCGAAAUUGUUUUUAAUAAAAGCAAAAUAGUAAGUUUGGUCCCUAUGUUAUCAUCUAAGACCUAAUUUAAUUCCAUCCCCUGAACUUUCAAAAUGGCUCGGUCCUUAGAGCAUCGUCGUCAAGAAUUUUUUUCUAAACUCACUCUCUAAAUCAUCGAUCAUUUCGGAGAGCCAUUUGAAUAAAUAUCGCUCUCUAUAUUUUUACACCCUCCAACAACUCCUCUGCAUCUUUAGCAAGCUAGCGUGAGUUGCAGAAUAGAGGAUUAGAGAUCUCAUUAAGGAAAUUGUUGGAAGGCAUUUUCACACCAAAAUCUCUAUUAAGGAAAGGAUGUAAAAAGACUCUUGGAGUUGCUCUUAAGCUUUACUUCUAGUUUUAGCUUUAUCCUAGGGUUAUCAAAAUGAGCAUUCUAGUCGUCCUCAAACUUUGCAUUAUGGGUUCAUUUUUAUUCAUGAACUUUCACAGUUCAGGGACUAGACUGAAAUGCAUUUGGAUAGUUCGUUAUUGAUGAAACUGAGCUCAGAACUCAAAGUUUGAGGAUAGAAACGGACACUUUGAUUGUCAUGUAAUGAAACUGAGCUCAAAAGUAAAGUUUAAAGGUUGUAACGACCAUUUCAAAAGUUCAGAGACAGCGUUACACUAUAGGAAACCAGAACUUUGCCGAGUGUCAUAUGCUUUGUCGAGUGCCAAAAGUUGGGCACUCGGUAAAGAGCCUUUGCCGAGAGCCGCACUCGGAUGUUAGUUAAUUAAAGGAUUAAAAUGGCUCUAUAUUCAGACUUAGAAAACUGGCCCUGACUAAAGUGUGCUCUGGCCUUCUGGGUGGACUUAUUUGCACCCCUGCAUGCACUGUUAGUAUAGUAAUUACCUCCGACUGACUGUCCCCGACGCACCUAUAAUAAGAGAAUUUUCAGAUACCUCUGCAAUGGCGUACUCUCGGUCCAAAAUUCAGACAUACCACAGUGCAUGCAUGUCUGCGACGCGGUUUCAUUCAGAAAUAAAUUCAGAAGCCACGAAUACGAACGAGGUAGCUAUAUAGGGAGGCUGGAGCGCACUUUGUGAAGCCCGAGUUGAUCCCAACCUGGACACGCUUAUAUUAGCUGCUACUAGCUACGACGACAGUUAGGUAUGGUGAUCAGGCCAGUACUACAGCACAACACUGAAAAGACUUUGCUUGCUCCACGUACUGUACAGUACAGUACACUUGAGCUAGUUUCACUUGUCAGAUCAGGUGUGAACUGUGAACUGAGCUACAUUACGUACGUCAUGCAGCUCAGCAUGUAUGUCAGCACAAACACGCAUAUGUAGAAGGAGAAGGCUGCUGUGUGGUGUGUGGUACGAUUCCAUGCAGUGCACAAUGCAUAAUGCCACUACAUAACACACUGAACUUUUUCUUCUGGAGUACAUCGUCCAUCUCCUGCUACUGUUUGGUACUCUCUACACUCUGGGUGCAUGCAUGUUCCUCUGGACUGCUGGCUGCCUUUUCCCUGGAGCAAGCAAGGCAGCAAGCAAGCAAGCAAUAGUAAACGAGCCAACUGAAGAAUAGUGGCAGUGUACCGAACUCCACGAUCGAUGAAUGCAAGAUUCAGCGCAGACGCGGAAACUGAUGAUGGAAUUCAUCGGAAUUCUGCACGGAUAUAGCAUACGUUCUCUGAAAUCUCUGGAAAAAAAAGGACACUGUAGUGCUUGCGUAGACGUAUCCACCCACGCACAGGGACGGAGCUGAGAGAGAUCAGCUAGUGAUCACUUGAGAUAGAUCUGGUGCCAUUUGAUGAUCCACCUGUUGUUGGAUCUGUUCAUGCACAGGAAUUAUUAGGCGAUUGACUCCUCCUCCUCCUCGAGCUGGAUUUGAUUGGAUUGAAUUGGAAUCAUCUCUUCUCUCUUCAGCUGCUGCUGCUGCUAGCUUCUUGCUUGUUCAUACGGUGCUUUUGCAUUGCAUAUUUGCAUGGCAUGACAUCUGUUGAUUCUGGAUUGGAUUGCGUUGCUUGCUUGCUUCUUUGUUUGCGGGCGUCAGUAAUAAUUCAGAGCACUAGCAGAGCUGACGUGCUGCAUGCUUGUUGAUUUCCUUCAUCCAUUCAUGGUGCUCACUAGCUGUACUACAUAUAUACAUGUAUAUAUGCAGCUGCUAUAUCAAGAAAAAGGGAGAUGUUUCAUUUUCGACAAGAACCGGGAUUAUGGAGACUAGAUUAAAAAAUAUAUUUUUUUAAAAAAAAGAAGCAGAACGAAGAGGUGGAGAUAUUCAUUUUCGAUAAGAGUUAAGAUUAUGGAGAGUAGAAUGCUGUGUUAGAGGCUCCUUUUUUAGAGGCCGAGGUGAAGGAAGCAGUCUUUAGUUCUUAUGCUGAAGGGGCCCCAGGGCCAGAUGGUUUCUCUUUCCUUUUCUACCAGGCUUUCUGGGAUGUUAUUAAGGGUGAUUUGAUGGUCUUAGUUAAUUGCUUUGAGAAUAAUAUGCUGAAUCUUGAUAGGUUGAAUUUUGCGAUGAUUACUCUUCUUCCUAAAGAGCCUGAUGCCAGGACACUUAAGAAGUAUAGACCUAUUAGUCUUCUUAAUUGUAGUUUUAAAAUUUUUGGUAAAUUGUUGAAUAUAGGCUGAUCAAAGUGGCCAAUAGAUUGAUUGCGUCGAAUCAAACAGCCUUUAUUAAGGGCAGAUAUAUUUUAGAAAGUGUGGUUGCGGCCCAUGAGAUUGUUCAUGAGGUGCAUAGGAAGAAAGAGUCAGUGAUUAUUCUCAAACUCGAUUAUGAGAAGGCUUAUGAUCGGGUUAGUUGGAAGUUCCUGGAGGAGAUGUUAAUGACUAGAGGCUUUGGUGCUAAAUGGAGAGGGUGGAUUUCUAAGGUAGUGCAGGGUGGUUCUCUUUGUAUUAGAAUGAAUGAUGAGAACAGUACUUUCUUUAAACCAGGGAAGGGGCUUAGACAAGGUGAUCCCCUGUCUCCCCUUUUGUUCAACCUGGUGGCGGAUGUGUUUAGUAGGAUGCUCAUGAGGGCUGCCAAAGUUAAUUUGAUAACCGGUUUGUUACCACAUUCUGAACCUGGGGGCAUUAUUAGCUUACAGUAUGCUGAUGAUACCCUCCUUUUUCUUGAAAACAAUUUAGACAAGGCGGUUAAUCUAAAGUGGAUUUUAGUGUGUUUUGAGCAGUUGUCUGGUAUGAAGAUUAAUUAUGACAAGAGUGAUCUUUUAGUUUUGGGUAUGGAUGAUGAGAGGGCAAAUGAUUUUGCUAAAAUCUUCUGUUGUAAGAGAAGUGAUUUCCCUAUUAAAUACUUAGGAGUACCCUUACAUUUUUCAAAACUGAGGAGGGAGGAUCUACAGCCGGUGAUUGACAAAAUAGUGAAAAGGAUUGCUGGUUGGAAGGGCAGGCUCCUGUCAUAUGCAGGAAGACUUACUCUACUUAAGUCUUGUCUAGCCAGCAUUCCGAUUUACUUACUUUCUGUUAUUAAGUUUCCAAGGUGGGCCAUUGACUUGAUCAACACGCAUAUGGGGCAUUUUCUUUGGAAUAACACUAAUGAGAAGCAUAAAUAUCAUUUAGCUAACUGGCAGCUUGUUUCUCAGAAAAAGGAAAUGGGGGGUUUGGGAAUCCCUGAUCUAAGAAGCUUGAACCUGGCUUUGUUAAGUUCCUGGAUUUUUAGAUAUCAUUUAAAUUCUUCUGCCAUUUGGACAAAAAUUAUUGAUUUUAAGUAUAAAACUAAGCAACCAAAUAUCUUCUGUUGUUCAGCGGUUGGUGCCUCUCCUUUUUGGAAAGGAGUCAUUUGGGCAAUGCAAGCUGCCCAUAUGGGCAUCAAAUGGGUAGUAGGGAAUGGUGAAAAAGUGAGGUUCUGGGAAGAUCAAUGGUUAGGUAAUACUAGUUUAGCUAUUCUUUUUUGGCCUCUGUAUGUGAUCAAUGAACAGCAGGGUAAGACGGUAAGUGAGGUUUGGGAUGGUGAGGAUCUUAAGCUCUCCUUUCGGAGGCAUGUUUCUAUGGGGCUGAUGGGUUUAUGGGAAGAGCUAAAGGUUGCUGUAGAGAAUAUUAUUCUGAAUAAUGAGGAGGAUCAAAUUUUGUGGUCCUACAACUCUACUGGGAGGUACUCGGUGCAGUCAUUGUAUGCUAUUAUCAACCACAGGGGUGUGGUUCCAGUGUUUGUUCCAGCUGUCUGGAAGCUUAAUAUUCCACCUAGGGUGCAAUUUUUUCUCUGGCUGCUUUCUAAUAAUAGAGUGCUGACGAGAGAUAAUUUAGCUAAAAGAAGGGAAGUCGAAGACUCGACCUGCUUGUUUUGUGGGGAAAAUGAAACAAUUCUGCAUUUAUUCUUUCAGUGUUGUGUGGUUAGGAAUGUCUGGGAGUUUAUAUCUCUUUGGCUUAACAAAUCCAUGGGUGAUGAUUUCAUUUCCGUUGCUUCUUUGUGGAUCUCAAACAAAAAGUUCAUGGUGUGCAAUAUAGUUUCUUCAGCAGUCUUGUGGGUGAUCUGGAAAUUACGCAAUGCUCUUUGCUUUCAGGGUGUACCAUGGAUUGGGAUGAAGAGAGUGUUUGCUAUGUUGGGAAGGAUGCUGAGAAACUGGAUGCCAAUGUUCACGUCGGAGGUCCAGAAAAGUGUGGAGCAGAUAGUCUGUCUAGUGGAAGCCGAAGCAAGAUCAGCACCGCAGAUCACGUGGAGAGUGGAGUUAUCAGGGUUGGCUCAAUCAACUGCUCAGCCUUCGGAGGGCUUAGGAAAUGCGAUGUCCGGUCAAUGUAAUAGGGCCUAGAUGAGGGCGUGAGCUAGAGUGUGGUUUUCUUCCUAGCCUAAACGUUUUGGCUGUUUGGCUUUUUGUUUGGCCAUGUGGCCCUGCCUUUGCUGGCAUUUAAAUUCUGAACUUAAACUGCUUACUGUUAGCUUUAUGGUAAUAAAACUGGGGAAACCUUUUCUUCAAAAAGAUUACGGAGAGUAGUUUCAAAAAGAAAUUGAAAAAAGAGGCAGAAGAAGGGAAAAAAAAGUGGAGAGGGUCCGUCGGCCGGUCAGGCCAGGCCAUUGGCCAAUACAAUAUUUAAUGAUGAAAUUUAGGAUUAGAUAGAAACAGUGAUUAUGGCCCAACAAGAUCUUGGGCCUAGUGUUGGUCAAGCUGAUGAAGACAAUGGGCUGGUGGGCCUGGCCCAAAGGCCUCUUGGUCAACAACAUGCGCCCUGUCCUUUUUUCUUUUGCGGCGCAGACGUGACUGUGAGCAACAGAAGAAGGGCAGAAAAAUUCAGUAAACGCACCGUAAGUCUGUAAUCACUUGUACCAGAAAAUCUCGACAACAUAUUGGACUCAUAGCAGCACAGUACAUAGUUUUUGGCGGUAUUUUAGCUGUCGCGUUCGGGUCUUAAUGAAUUUCCAGAUGAACACGAACAUGAUCUAAACUAGCAUCGGCCAAAAACAUGCUAUCUAGGAUCGAUUGUUUUUAUUCCAUCAUCGAUGUCAGAAAAGCAAACAGUCAUAAAAUUGACUGCGAGAGAAGAGAAGGACACGCUUGUCAACCCAACCAACAGUGACAAGAAAAUGCUAAAAAUAAACAGUGACAGGAACUGGCCCUUUAAAUUCUGCUACUAAAACACAGUGACAGGAACGGUGCACCUGAAUCUCAAUGACUUUCAGUUUCAGAAACCCAACUUUUCAGAGAAAAACAACCAAAGUGAAAUAACCAUUUCUUGCUGAAACUGCAAGCGAUUUUUUAUGCAGUGUAUCUGCCACCGAAAGCUCAAAGAAAUUAAAGAAAAUGCAUGCUUUCGUACACAUAUCAUCAGAUCCCUACCCCGGGGCACCCAUGACUAGUAGGCGCUGCCACUGGCCCACUGCCAGUAACUGCACCAUCCGAGUCAGCCAUCUCAGGAUCUGAGAGGAUCUCCCGCCUGUGCUGUGAUGUGCAGUUCUUCUACCUCUUUCCCCCGGCAGCCAUUGCUGCAGCUUUCUUGGCUCCUCCAUACCAUACCUUACACAGCCAGGGCAUUUGGCUGGAUGCCUGGAUGCACCAGUUUGGUCUCCUGCUGCAUGUGCCAUUUGCCCUCCUGGUCGGGUCAAGCACAGUUUAUAUUGUAUUAUUACGCAGGAGAUACAUGUCUUAUGCCUGCACUUUGGUUGGGUUUUGGCAGGCAGGUCCGCAGGUGAUGUUCAGAGCCCAGACUGUAUGCCACACCUCCAUGUUUUGGACAGUUUGGCAUUCCCUUCGACAACCCAACCCUUGUAUGAAGUAGUCACAUGCAUGCUAGCAGCAAGCAGCUCCAUAUACACACGAUAAAUCACAACAACAACAACAACUCUAAAGAUCAUUAUCUUCUUUUGUGGUUAACCACGGCCUUGUUUAGUUCCAAAAUUUUUAGCAAAAUAAGCAAUGUAGCACUUUCGUUUUGUAUUUAACAAAUACUAUGUUACACGGAUACUCCAAGGAGGGUGACGUAUCCGUAUCCGAUACUCGUCGGAUACGCGGAUACGGAUACUCGGAUACACCAUUUUAGUGUAUUUUCUUUUGAGAAAGUGUGUAUCCGCGUAUCCGAUACGUAUUGUAUCCGAUACUCGUACCCGUACUCGUGUAACGUAGGACAAAUAUUGUCCAAUCAUAGACUAACUAGGCUUGAAAGAUUUGUCUCACAAUUACAAGCAAACUGUGUAAUUAGUUAUUGUUUUUAUCUAUAUUUAAUGCUCCAUGCAUGUGCCGCAAGAUUUGAUGUGAAGGAAAAUCUGAAAAAUUUUGUAAAAUUUUUUGAACUAAACACAUGCAUAUGGCUGACUCGUCGAGCCUGGCAACUACUGUACCAAUAAAUCUGGAUGACGAGUUGACGACCAGAAACGGCAGCAGUUUAUCAGCAUCGCAUUUUCUGCAAAUAUAACUGCACGCAAGCAGGGUCAAACUGUUACCCAGAUUACCAGGAAACACACAACCUCUGAACUUGCUUGCUGGUUGCUGCUCUGCUAGUGCUGCUAGCUACAGCUUGUCUGUUGCGCUCAAAGCUUUCGCUGCACCUUUUCUUGGGCCGCUCCAAGCUACUCUGCUGCUAACUGCAUCCGUUUCCGUUUGUGCAAACAUGUCCUGCUCGCAGUUAUCUUGACACGUGUGGCCCUUCCUAAUCCUAGGGUUUAGUUGGUCUUGGGUAGUGCCUAACCAGCAUCUUUGUUUGUCCACAACUUUGGCUCGGCUUUUAACAGCCUCUUCUGGCUGUUGCUUAGCCCUAAAGAUUAUACUACUACCACUGUUAAACAAACGUUUUGCCUGAGGUCUAAGCGAUGAACCGCGUCUUUUUAGGCAACGACUAUGAUCCAUACUAUAUAUAUAUGUCUGAUACUAUACUACUUCACGUGCCCCUCAAUGUUGGUUGUUGGCCUGCUGGGCAUUUCAUCUGUAUAUAGUUCCAUUCAUGUUGCUUCAGAGCGCGCUGUGCCCAAUUUUCAGGUAAAUGAAGUAAAUUCCUGCAUUUUUCAUACGUACAACCUUUCUUGCUUAAUUAUUGCAUAAUUGAAAGGUGCUGGUCCAUCAAAUUGUACUCUGCAUGAGCUACGGUCAUAAGAGACAUACGUAUUAACAGUUUCAUGUUAAAUCCAGCUACUAUCAAUUUGCAAUCACUUGUCUUUGCAUGAAUCUCCAUAUGAUCAAAUUCUAACACUUACAAUACCCAUAUGAAAAUUCUAUAAUCUAUGGUUAUGCUUGGUUUAGCUUCUGAAAAGUGUUUCUACUGUCAGCAAACAGAACGUCGGUAUAAUUUUUGCAGCACUUUGACCUGCUUUUAGCUUUUAGUUUUCUGCUUUUUAUAAAUGGUGAAAAUAGAGAAAUGUUUUACUGAUGUUUCAAGGGAGAGGGAGACGGAGAGGGAUAGAUUUCAUAGUUGUUUGAACUUUGAACCAAACAAGUACAACAUUUUCACAGCACAUAUAGCUCACAACAGUUUUUUAUAACUCACAGUUCACAAAAGCUUUUCCACAAGUCACACCUAAACCAAAUAGAGUAAUAGACCCUAUGUCUGGUUAUGAUAAAAUCAAUUACUCUACAUGGUUUUCCAUCCAUAUAUUCAUUGUUUUUCUUUUGUGUUGCACCUUUGUGUGUGUUCAAUAUUGAAAGGCUAUAUGUCAUACCAUAAAUUAUGUCGCCUCUUGGCUAUUGCAAUAGCAUAGAUGGAUAAUUUAGAUGCAAUUUAUAGGCUUACUUUGUGUUAUCUUGCAUAAUGACAAGUGCAAGUAAUUUAGAUGCAAUUUAGCGUGGAUAAACCCAUUUCAUUCCAUUUGGAUUGGGGAGUGAAUUGAAUGAACAAACUUCUCCCUAUAUCCAUCGGUCCAUCCAAUUCUACUUAAACCCACAUGGGAAUAGGUUUAUCUAAACAAUAUGCAUCAUCCAUUCUUGACCAAGGACUUCUUCGUGGCCAUGGCCUCCAGUCCAUACAUGCUUCUCUCUUUGACUCGUGAGCACGUCUAAAUGUCUAGUAUCCUAGCCACUAUGUUUGCCAAAAAAAAUUGCUUAUUUUUAUUUUUCAUUGAAUAUAUCAAAAUUGUUAGAUAUUCAUUAUUACCUUUGCUUAUAAAGAUUUAAAAUGGCUACAUGUGAUGUGUCUGGUGUGAGAAGGACUGUGAAAUGUUAUUGGGCUUCUUUGGAUCUAGUUAACUAAUAGUCAUCUGCUAAAAAUAGCUAGGGUUGAUUGAAAUAGUUGGGCACCCAAUUAAUGACUAUCUCAUUUGCUAGGCAAAUCAAGCUAAUUGAUAGUUAACUGACCGAAAUGCCCUCCCACAACCGAUAAUAGUUAGCUAGACUAUUAGUUAGCCAACAAUUCAACCACUUAUUAGCCAUUGUAGGUUUCAAACACCUUAUUAGGUAGGGGUGGAUCCAAAAUGGGGGGUGUGGGGGCACAAGCCCCCUACCUACUGGAGGUUGCGGUCGCGGCGACCAGGUUCAAUGACGUGUUGCAACCCAUCUAGGACAACGAUCAUAUAGUGUAUGACGAUGACCUCCUCAAGCCUCAGCGCCAACCCAAGGCCAGCACCAUAUCCUCAAGCUAAUUCCCAGCUAGUUAAGUGAUGUCAUCACCACUUCCUAUGAGAGUGGGUGCAUGCAUUUUUAUGUGCUUUCCUUACUAUACUACUCAAGUAGUCAAGUUUAAUGUCACUUUUAUCCAUUGGGUUACUGCUAGAUUUGGAUAAAAUAGGUUUUGAAUUAGAGUACGAAGGGUGAAGAAUGGGUAAUUAAGAGUUGCAUUUGGGUGUGGAUAAGACCGGUUGUGUCCACACCAUCCACAACAACAGGUCUAGCCACCAACCUUAAUUGAUAUAUCCAUGAUCUUAGACGAUGAACUCUAGUGGAUCAAUGGCACAUUAUCACACACAUCUAUAGAUCACCAAAUAGGUGACAUGGCUUGGUAGGACACAACCCUAUUAUUAAUCAUGACAUGGCGUGCCUAUUCAUUGGCUCCAUGCUCGCCAUGCACAAUGGUUCAAGGCUUGUGCUCUGCCACAUCAUCUCACCGUGCCAAGGCCGUGCCCAUGCACUACCAUGGUGUCGUCAUACCUUAGCCAGGCUUAUUAGUGUGGAGGCAACAACUAUUGGAAAGAAAUGAGUUCGAAUUAGGGUUUGAAAGACAAAGAACAUCAGUUUAUAUAUGGGGUUGGUACGAUUAACGGGUCCAAUGGACCAACCAGCGAUCGGGACCGGCACGUGCAUGAUUAAUUUGGAGCGGGCCGGGCCGGGCCUAGACUAUGCAAAAGAGCGGGCCAUGGGCCUCACGUGCCCUUUGAGUUUUGAGCCACAUCAUAAUUUUAACCACUCAACUCCAGCACAUACAUGUUGGUAUAUGCCUACAAUGCAAUUCAAGAGAGCCGGCGGAUCGACUACACUGGCCGCCCAGCCGCCGACGAAGAAGAAGAUGAAAUUCGUUCUUCCAUCCCAAAGGAAAACAACAGGAGUACAGGACAUGACAAUUGUGUGUUAUGGCGAGACAGCUCAUACAAUGCAAGUAUAUACGGCCAAACGCGAUGCAUUGUACGUGUAUAGGUAUUCAUGCAUGCAGUACCAGUACAUACGGACACACGGUGUGGACGUACGCACGCAUUAACGUACGUGUAGCAGCGCGCACGCCGCCCCUGACCACGGAACCUUCCGUGCUUGGACGACGGUGAGUCGCGUCGCGUGCAUGUUCGGCAGCAGGCACCACACUGGCUGUGUGAUGUGAGCCCCACAACGACAGCUAGCGAUAGAUAUUCUUAGCUCAAAAACCUGAGCUCGAGGCUCUAGCUGCGCUGAAUGUCUUGUUUAGAUUCAAAAAGUUUUUGAAUUUUGAUAAUAUAGUACUUUUGUUUGUAUUUGAUAAUUAUUAUCUAAUUAUAUACUAACUAGGCUCAAAAGAUUGAUCUUGCAAAUUACAAAUAAACUAUACAAUUAAUUAUUUUUUAAUUUAUAUAUAUAAUGCUCUAUACAUGUGCUGUAAAAUUCGAUGUGACAAAAAAUCUUGAAUUUUUUUUGAAUUUUGGAUGAACUAAACUUAGGCCUAAACAAGGCCUGAGACUGACCCGUCUGAGAGCGACGGCCAACCGCUCCUGUCUCCGUCGUCUCCUGCGGGCCGGCGUGCCGAAACGUGACCGCAGGUAUAAGGAAGCUCCUUCGACGCCGCUCAUCAUUGCAUUUUCAUGAUGCUUAAUUCUAGCCUAAUACAUGUAUAUGCAUGUCCUAGAAACAUACGGGCGGGGGCUUAUUCUUCUUAUUUAUAUAUAUAUAUAUAUAUAUAUUUAGUCUCUCUUUCUAAGCUUCAAGCCUUCAAUGUUGUAGAUUUAUGCAGAGGCUUAGGCCUUGUCUAGUUGGGGAAAAAUUUUGGUUUAUUUAGUGUGAUUUUGUUAUUUGUGGUAGCAUCACCAGUUUAGAAAAGAAAUGUUUGAUACUAGUAUGCAAGUAAGAAGUGAUGAGGAAUGAAGGUCGUGAGGAAGCCCACUUUGUGAAUGAAUAGACACAACAACCAGGUCCCUUCAUGAAGGAUACAAGUAAAUAUCCACUUUUUUGUGAAUCAUAGGUCUCUUUUUGUAAUGAGGUUGCAAGCUGGUGUAAACUAUGGGUUAAUACGAUGACUCAACUAGAUGUAAUGCCUAUUUCUCCUUAUGCCCAUCUCUUGUGUUUAUCUAUCAUCUGAUUGAAAUGAGUUUCCUUUUAAAGUUUCACUUGUUUUGCUGCACCGAAUGUUUAUAUGCGCAAUCACUUCACUGCGACAACAACCUAAAUACAUAGUUCACAUUCCAUUCAUUCCACGAUUAACUAAAGCAACCAAAAUACAGACCAUUACACAAAGACCACAAACACAAACAAUGACAAAAGUCUUAAGCAACACACAAAUCUUAUUUGGACUUGGCAUAACCCAUUUCUCUUCAUUGUGCUGCACUUGUCUCCCCACUGUCACUUCAUGAGUAGCAAUAGCAACCGGCCAACCAACAUCCCGAGUAACACUAGCUCGCGUGCCAUUCUGCAUUCUCUCUUCUCUCAUGUCUCUAGAUUAUGAACCCUAAUGCCACGCUUGUUCCUCAAGAAUGCCACAUAUAGUCUCUGUUCCACAGAUAGAAGCCACAUCGAGUCGAUCUGUUCCUUCUUCAAAACUGCAAAGUUAAUCAAUCAAAAAGCACAAAAUUUGUAGCACCUUUACCAGAGCUCCACACACCUACCUUUUGAUUUGGACAAGUGAACAAGAUCAUGUUCGGGUUAUCGUUGGUCUAGGAUGUGAGAUCCACCACCUUCCUCCAUUCGUAGUCAGGGCAAAAUAUGAGUGGAAUGUUAGGCCUUUCACAGCACUAACUCAAUGACGAAUUGGAUGGGCUCAAAACCAUGGCUGGGAAUCAAGCAAAGGGGUGGAGGGACCAGACAAAGAGACAAGAGAAUGCGAAAGAGAGAAAUAAAAAGGGCAGGAGUGCCUCAAAUUAAUGACACCCAAAUUGGCAGGAACCGAGACACAAAUUCCCGCCAAAAUGACCUAGUACCCGACAUCAAUGCUCUAGAUGAAAGGGUGGGGUUUGGACCAGGAUGACAUGGCAAACAUAGUUUAGAGAUUACAAUAUGCAAUUUUAAAGUAUCAGAACCUGGUUGAGAACUCAAUACACAUUAAGGACCACAUUAAGGACCGCUGGAUACACCACACGUGAGAUAUAUUUCAAUAUUGCAUUUAUUUGCUAUUAUAGAUUCUAAUAUAUUUCUAUAAACUUGAUCAGGGUGUUAUACAUGUUUGACUUAGGAUAGAAUCAAAACGUUUUAUAAUUUGAAAGUGCAUGAGUAUAAAGCAAUCUUGAGAGGAUCAUGAUUUAUUUUAUCAAAUGUAAAUGAAUAUCUGACAAAUGAACUAACGCGAGCAUAGGUGGAACAAAUGUUCCCCCCAACUACUUGCUUGAACGCCAGAGAUUAAGUAGCUAGAUUAUAGUACUUCAAGUAGGAUCGGAGUACACAUAAACAUGCUGACCCUGAAUAGACAGCUUAGAUGGACUAAUAACAUGCAUGCGCACAAAUUAAACAAUGCAACAACAAACAACUAACAGAUGAAUCGACGGGGGGAGAAGAGAAGUUUGGUGCAUUGGUUGUUGGGCGUGCACAAUCGAUCACAUGGCCCAUUGCCUCCGUCAUCACAUCACAGCGAAAUGGAACUGACCUCUCUCUCCCGUCUCCUCUCCUGAUCGAGCCAGGAAGAAUGACUAUGAACAGAAGAAAGGGACCAAUACGAUGCAAGAAGGAAAAUCCCCCAAUUGACAUAUAGCUUCCUCCACAGAAUAUAAUCAAUACUCGCAUGUAGCUCAUUUAUUUAGUGACAUCAUAACAUAUAAUAAGCUAGUUAACUGCAGUCAAUAAGUCUAUAUUAUAGCCUAUAUACACCAUUAAUUAAUUUCGUUUUGGCAUGCAGUGGCAGGGACUGGUGUUUUCUAGGGUAGGUUAGUUGUGAUCAUGAUCACACCUUUGAGCUGAGCUUAUUGGUUGCUGCUGAACAUUGUACUGGUAAUGGCAUUCACAAACAAGCAGUAGAGAGAUGCGCCAUCAACCAUCAUAGAAAGAAAAGCUGAGAAGAAGCUUCCUUCGAUCUAUGCCACACUUCCAUUCUGGAAUCUUGUAGCAUAUUUUUUUCCUUCCAAACCUUUUAGGACUCGUGUUUCAUCGUCAGAUAGUAGCUUCAGUAGCAGCAGUAGGUUCCAUGUUGCAAUCCCAACCAACUCGGAAAUGGCCUCCUCAACAUCCACACACCUCAUAUCGCUACCACCUUUAGGUAAAAGGAACUGAUGACUACUGAGGGAGAUUAAACUAGAUUAGAUGCAUGUGUAUCAUACAAGUGAUGAGGGCUAAAAUAAAGCUGCAUCCCACCUAAUAUUCUUCUCUCGGCUGAUAGCCUGUCUGACGCCUCUUGUGAAAUAAUGCUAAAAAAGAUUUACGCAUGCAAUAAGACAAUCAUCAUCAUCAGCCUGCAGCUGCAAGGAAACAACUUGAAUAUAUAGAUACUCUAUCGAUCCUGUGUUGGAAGUAUAUACUUAUGUAUAUAUAUAUAUAUAUCUGAACCGAGGUACUUGAACUGUCGUUGAGAAAUAAACUGGAGGCUGUGAGAAACUGAAAGAAUCCAAUACUAUGCAUGGGGCUUUUUACCUUGGUCCUCUUUGCUGCAAAGUUGGUGCUUUGGCCUGUUGCUCUGUUUUUACGGGUGUUUGCUUCUCCGCAAUGGAAUCCUCAAAACCGGGACCAGCCAAAGAAGCAGGCCAGCAGCAGGGACAGGGUAUCUCGCCCCAUUCUCUGAUUCUCAUAUCAGUCAGUUCCAGGCUGCUCUCGUACACAGUUUGAGAGAGAUAAACAUGUUUUUUUUUCGUUAAUCAUGAUUAGAAAACAUAGGAGGUGCCCACUCUGUUACUCAAUCGCAAACUGAUUUAAUAUUUUUAUACAAAUAUCUUUUACUGUACAUUCAGAUAUGUGCCACCUCUAGCGCAAUGUUCAUCUCAAAAGCCUCUUCAACAUAGACAAGAAAUCUCACAUAAACAUGCUCGGAUCCCACAAGACAGGCACGAAUAAGCAUCUACGGUCCUGUUUGGACACACUACGAUCCAUCGGAAUUCAUGUGAGUUCAAAUUAGAGUAGGAUGGAAUGCAAUCAAACAAACACACCACAACGCGGCCAUCCAUGCCUACAUCCAUUCACAAAUCACACGAAUCUCAUAUAAACAUACUCGAUCGGAUCCCACAAGACGGGCACGAACAUCCAAGAGUCUAUUUGGCUACGCUCCAAUCCGCCUUAGUUUAUAUGAUUUCGGAUCAGAGCAGGAUGCAGUGCAGCCAAACAAACCUUUGCAACAGCCAUCCGUCCAUCCACAAAUGACACGGUUUUUAGCAUGGGGUGACUAGAAGUAUGUUCGUAUGAGCUUAUCUAUCGAAUUUGUUAGUUAUUUAACAAUAUGUUUCUCUCACAACAAAUUAGCUGACUAGUACUUUCAGCAACGGCUUUUCAGACAAACGAACAGGCUCGAAUACCACCAUCUGGUAUCGUUUCGUUGCAUUGGAUGAUUGGUAGCGAAGCAUGCAUGCCUACUGCCCAAAACCACACCACACGUAUGUAGGAGUAUACGUAGUACACCAAAGACGGGCAAGCAAGCAUCGCUAUCAGCCAAUUCCAGCUACAUUUCACUAUCACUCGAGUCUUGGAGUGACGCGGCCGCGAGUAAAAACCACAACAGCUCACUCACCUCACCUCACCUUGUUCACCUGUAGCCGUUGGUUGAGAAAGGCAAGUCGCACCGCACUCCUCCCGCCCUUCGUUCCCCUCACCAACCACCCUCCAUUUUCACCACCUUCACUUCGCACCGGGCCACCGGCCGUAUUCAUUCCUCUUCCACCUCCCUCCUCCUCGCCCACCGGCUGCAGCAUCUUCCCCUCACACCCUCCUUCCUCCUCGUCGCCCCGCGUCUCUCCCUCCCUCAAAGACUACUCCUUGGCCGCUCUCACCAUUCCAUUCCAUUCCCCCGGCCGGCCGUACGCGCAUCGCAUUCCCGGGCGGCUACCUCCUCCUCCUCUGAUGUCGGCACGGCCAUGAUCUCAAGUUCUUGGCAUUGAUGCCGUUCUGGUAGCCAGCCUUCUUUAACCCACCUUAACAAUAACUGCCUGCCGCCCUGCCCCCACCUCUCCUCUCGCCCUGCAGCUGAACCUGAGCUGAGCUGAUUCGCCGGGCUCUGAGCCUCUGCUCCACAUCCAUCCAUCCAUCCAUCCAUCCACCUUCGCCCAACCCUGAUCCAGAACCCUGUCGGUGUCGGCGCGCCGUGAUCCGGCAUCAGCAGCAGGAGCAGCAGCAGCAGCUUCCGCGCGGGGCACCGGCGGCGCGGCCAUGGGCACGGGCGCGCUCGCGGUGGCGGCGGCGGCGCCGGCGGACCGGGCCAACAAGCAGCGCCGGGCCGGCGGCGGCGCACACCUGUGGAAGAAAGCGCUGCUCCACUUCUCCCUCUGCUUCGUCAUGGGCUUCUUCACCGGCUUCGCGCCCUCCUCUUCCUCCUCCUGGAAGGCCGCCACCACCACCCCUCACCCGCCGCACCGUCCCGGGGACCGCCUCGCCGCCUCCCGCGUCGCCGUCGACGUCAACGCGCGCGCCACCCUUCCGCCGCCCGCGUCCGCCGGCGAUGCGCUCGGUGUCGGCGGCGCCACGGUGGACGUGGGCGACGAGUACGAGGAGGGCGACGCCAACGGCCAGCGCCGACGCCUCCUGAUCGUGGUCACCACCACGCGGUCGGGCCCCGGGGAGCGCCGGCGGCGGCGGGGCGAGCUGCUGCGCCUGGCCCACACGCUCCGCCUCGUCCGCCCGCCCGUCGUCUGGGUCGUCGUCGAGCCCGCCGCCGACGCGCCCGCCACCGCCGUGGUGCUCCGCGGCACCGGCGUCAUGUACAGGCACCUCGCCUUCAAGCCCGAGGAAAAUUUCACCACCGCCGAAGCCGAGGCGCACGCGCAGCGGAACGCCGCGCUCGCGCACGUCGAGAAGCACCGGCUCGCUGGCGUCCUCCACUUCGCCGACGCCGCCGGUGUCUACGACGUUGGGUUCUUCGACCAGAUCCGACAGAUCGAGUUAGUAACCCCUCUCCACCUUCUUCAAAUCUCGCACUCUGCUGCCUUCCUUCCUUCCUUCGAUUUCAUGUCAUGCUUGCUUUUAAUUAAUCAAAUGAAUCAUGCUGCUCCAUUAAAAUCAGUCUACUACGAUGCAGCAAAAUUAGAAUGUGACUCAAAGAUUGGAGCUUUGCCUGUUCCCCUCUUUCAAUUUGACAUCUAAUUGGUCUCCAUUUCCACCAUGCAUCCUGUUGUUCCAGAAUGUAUGUUGCUUGAAUCUGAAUCACAAUGCCUAAAAUAGCAAUUCCAGCUCAUAAAUUUCAUUUCGGAUCUUCUUUAUGCCCACCGACUAGGACUACGGCUAGGGUUCCUCAUAACUAAUCACCGCUUCUUAAAAUUUAGGAGUACCACUAAUUUAUUUUAUUUACUCGUCUAAAUAAAUGCUUUAGUAGCCGUAUAGUUUGGUACAUGAAUAAAUAAUUGAAAGCAUAAGCUGUCAUUAGUGGGGAGAAUAAGGGUGUGACAAUAAUGUGUGUCUCGCAUGUACUACUUCAGAAGAAUAGAAAGAAAAAAGAGGGGCACUGCAGCUGCUUAGAGAACUUUUAACUAUUCUCUCUCCAUUUAUCUGAUGCGAGAAGGAGUCAAUUAUUGGAUCUUGCUUACCACUUUUCUGAGUCCCUUUCGCCCCAACAAACAAUGCUUCUUUUUCAGACUUAAUCUUUCGCUUUUGCUCACCCCCAAGUCCCCAACGGACCAAUGUGUUCAUGCCAACCACUCCAAUUAGUUUAAUUAUAGAUUAAAGAUUUGAAGCACGUAUCAUGAGCAAAGCCAUAAUUAUUUUAUGUGGUAGUGGUAGCGCUGCUGGUAGUCACUGACAAAUGGGCCUGUAACACUGUCGGUGGCACCUAACAAAAUGGAAAGUAAGUGGAAACACGGCAUCCUUGAAUUGACUCCUGAGAUGUUGUUACUCCUAAAAUGGGGAAGCAAUAUGCUGGGGAAAAAUAGCCACAAAAGAUAGCAGGUGGGGAAAAAAUAGUAGUAACCGUUAUGCCAUGGCCACUGAAACUGAUUGAACUAAAAUGGAGAAGGUCCUGGUCCUAUCCAGACCAUUAACUGCUCCCUCCAACCCCUCUGAUAUACACCACACAAAGUUGCCCACUUAUUUGGUGCAGUUUCCCUAUACUGGAGCACACAGCACACCUGUGAUUUAUAUCUGCUGGAGACCGUAAGAAACUCUCUUUUUUCUGUUUUUGCAAAAUGAUGGUAUGAAUCUUCAUUUCUGUGCAGACCACCAGUUGUCCUUGGAGAUUUUUCUCAUGAGGAGUUUGAAAAUCUUGCAAAUGAGAUUUCACAUUUUUUUCUGCUUAAUGAAACACAUGCCGAUGCAUGUUCUCGAAAAAAAAGAUUUCACAUUUUGAUUUUACCAACAUUUGAUGUUGAUUAUUGAGUUACUUUCAUGAUCAUCAAUUUCCAGUGGAGUAUGAAAUCCAAUGUUUCCACCAUAGUAUGAAACUUGUAGCAUAUAUGAAGCUUGUUGUUUAGCUCGCUCUCUCUCUCUCUCUCUCUCUCUCUCUCUCUCUCUCUCUCUCUGCACUUGGUCCUAACAUGUGACCACCCCUUUAACUUUUGCCUACCCAUCCAAAACAAUGUUAGCGGAUGCUGUUAAAAGAUAAGAUGCUUAUGGAUAUAAAGCAAUCUACAUUUCAAAAAAUACAUACAUAACACAAUAUUACUCAGCAUCCGAAACUUUUUGCCUCUCAACUCGAAAACAUCCCUGAAACAUUUGACUUACCUUUCGCAUUCACUUUUCCGAUUGUAGCAUUCUAACAAUGAUGGUGAGUGCUUGGGAUCAUAAAGAGAGGGAAUCACACCUUGGUUCAGUACAAUGGUACUAGUAGAUCACUAUCACUACUACAGUAGUACUCAUGCCAUGUGAGAGCACAGUGGCAAUGUUCCCUGGAAGAACAAUCUUUUUCGCUUAGGGAACAUGAUAGGAUAAAAGCAUUCCUUUUUUCCUCAAGCAAGGUUUACCUGCAUCUUGGCACCAAAACAUCUGCACUUGAUUUUCUAGUUUGCCUUCUUUUUUUCUUUCUUUCUUUUUUGGAAUCCCUUUUAGUUUUUACAGUCCUCGACAUGCGUGCACAUCUGCACUUGUGGCCCCUGAUGCUUUUUGUGGGGCUCCAGCAUAAUAAUACAACACAACAGAGCUAGGAGCACCCAUUAUGCCUUGUCGCACAUAUGGCCUAGCAUGCCUGUCCUUACCAGCUACCAGAAACAAACGAGGGCAGGUGCACAAUAUAGUGACACUGUAAGUGGAGUUUACUAAAUGACGGGGUUUGACCAUGGUUAAUGCCUCUUGUGUCAGGUUGAGAUUCAGCAUUGGAUUUUUUUAAGCCUAGGAGGCUGAAAUAUGGUUACGGAUUACCUUAAUGUUUAAAUAAGCUCGUGUGUUUACUAUGCCUAGUUGUGUUUGACUGCAUAUUGGGAACACGUCUGCUUACUAAAGUUUGCAUUGCUCGUCAACCAUGCAUAUUUGCAUCACCCCAUGGUUUGUUCGAUCUGGAUUUGUCAAGGCUAUUCAAACUUUGGAAUCGGUGAUGAAACAAAUUAAGCAUCGGCAUGUGCAGCCAUGUAGGCAAGUGGAAAAUGUAGCUGUACUGUGUAGUCCAUGGCCACAUAUAAGGUGGCAGUUACAUUUACAUACAAUAAUUCAGUAUAUUCCUUGUAACAAGUGAUUUGGAUGAGUUGUCAAAAGUAUAGUAGGCAGUAUGUGGAAGAUGUGCCAAUGGAGCUAUCCCCUCCUAUGCCUCUUCCUUCAAAUUAAACUCAGUUGGCUGAAUUGUGGUUAGUGCCAGUGGAGUCUCAUUCUAGUCAAGGUUUGGUGGCACAAUGCUUUUUAAUUCCAUAAUCCAUCAUUCUUCUGACCCAAUCAACAUGAGAUACAUAGAUCAUAGGCGUAGCUAACUCCUGCAUCAAACAUGUUUUGGUGCAUGUUGCAUAGUUCUUGUUGAAUUUCUUCUCAGAUGUGGGCGCCUUUAGAUAUUCUUUCUAACAAUCCAAAUAUGCAGGGCGUUUGGGACAUGGCCUGUGGCAACAAUGUUGGCUGGCGAGAAGAAAGUGGUAGUAGAAGGUCCGCUAUGCAGUGCCUCAAAGGUCGUCGGUUGGUUCUCAAGGGACUUUAACGAUGGGACAACCCGUUCAGUGACGUAUAACACGGAAGUUGACUUGAAUCCUGCUGGUGCUGCUGGUACACGAGCCCACACAAUUGACGUCUCAGGUUUCGCGUUCAACAGUUCAAUUUUGUGGGAUCCUGAGCGGUGGGGACGGCCAACCUCAUUACCAGAUACUUCACAGGUUAGUCCACCCCCGCCUUCUGCAUGUUAGUAACCAAGCAAGUCUAAUCCAAUUAAAUUUUGUUUUUUCAUGAUACAAAGUACUUAGCAGGCUAUGAUAUGUGAUUGGCUCAGUGAAAAGACUGGUUCUGAGAUAUCAGCAUUUUUUGGCUGUCCAUUUCUUAAUCAUCUCAUCAUCAUAUAAAAAUUGCAAACAGCGUACAAUAGAGGAUCUGUUUGACCGUUGGAAUUGUGGAGUGCACGCCUAGCCUAAAUAUGAAAUGUUAAGCCAUUGACAUUAGUCAUUUGAAGUGUUAUUUCGAGGAAUGGUUUCAUACUCUAUGAAUUAUUUUCCUUGUGUUAUUUGAAAAAUGAAGGCCAUCAGUUUCUAAUACAACAGUGUCUGUGAUGUGGGCUGGCAUUUGUGGUGAUUGCUGUGCAUUUUAAGGUCCUGUAAAGUCUUUCUUCUCUUGGUAAAAAACGUGCUAGGCACGAUCUCAGAGAAAAAGGGCAAGUGGUUGGAACAGACUGGAUGCUGACUCUGUCAAUAGUUUAAAAGUCAAGCAUGGGCACUCAUGUUCCUUCCGAACAAGAUACAUUCAGUUCACGAUUUUGUUUAUCUAGAAUAAUCAUAGUACAGCAUUACUCAUUUUUAACAGAAUGGAAUAUUUAUUACCAAGUAUCCAGUGCCUUCUACAGAUCCUUGUCCUCUCUACAUGGACCUUACCUGAUAUUGCUGGACUGUCCCUGUUACACAAAUUAUCAACUUAGAUUCAUGGAUUGAUGUGACAACCCUAGCGUUACACAAAUGCCAAAUCCCCUUUCAAUGGAACAUGGCAGGGGACAGAUGGCACCCUUGUCACUUUCGUCGUGCACUCCUUAUUAAAAUUUCCGGUUCUGAUUUUGUUUAUAACACCUGCCAACCUACCUUUCUAAUCCAUGAGGUACAGCCACUAAUGAUACUGAAAGCUGAAUAUGCCACUAAACCAUGAUACUGAUUGCUGACUGAAAUGAGAUAACCAAGCAAUAUGAUACUUCCCAAUCUGACAAGCAAUCCCAUACAAACCAGUUCAUGCAAGGAUCCUGUAGUCUGUAGAUACGGGCAUACAAAUCGUCUGAGCUUCGUUCUGAACUAUGAGCCGAUACUGAUAACAUUCAAUUUCUCCUCUACUUGUCAUGUGCAAGCAAUAAGCUAUCAACAGUUAGUUGAUGGAGACCUAGCAUUCCUACACCUGCCUGCCAAUGUUACUCUUCUAUCAGAUCACCUGAAUUUUCUACUCCCAACUAACAUGAUAGGUUGUUACUGAUGUGAUUGCAGGACUCCAUCAAGUUUGUGCAAGAAGUGGUACUUGAAGACCGAGCUAAGCUGAAGGGGAUCCCCUCUGAUUGCUCCCAGAUCAUGGUGUGGCAGUAUAGUGUGCCCAGCUCACAAUAGAGGGCAGUCGAGAUGUUGCACAAUAGGCGUUGCAGCCUCGCAGGAAGGGGAAGAACAGCGAGUAUUGGACCGGAGUCGAUGUAAAUGUGGUGGGUGAUAACAAAAGGAAAGGAAGAAGGUUGAUUACUAAGUUUUUUUUUUCCUCUCAUUCUCCUUUGGGGUUCCCUUUUUCUUUCUCUCAGUUUUGGUUUUCGAGUUUGGGGGCCAUGAAUGAUGAACUGCCUGUGGGAGAAGUUCGCCCCCCAAGCGGGAAAAUAUGCGAUAGUAUUUAUUCAGAUUCAUUUGUGAUUCUUUAGCUUGGUCCUGUUGCGUUCGCGAGGCGGUGCCGCCUCACGAAUGGCCCUCUUGUGGGUUGCAAUAAUACCAAUAUGUGUAGGGAGGAAUGAACUUGCUGAAGAAAAUGGCAGUGGCAUGAGGAAUGAAGAAGUUUACUGUGUUGUGGCAUGAAUUCCAGCAAGGCAGCAAUUACCAUCUGAAGAACAAAAAAUCAUGUGCAAAAAGAAAAGAAAAUAAUAAAGACUCUGAAUUUGCUCUCACAUCUUGUCAUCUAUAAAAUGUUAGAAACUACUGUCUGAUAUUUCCCUUUGGGAAAGUGUUUAUUUGCUUUGAGGAGGUUUGUGGUUGUUGAAAGGGAAGGAAAACAGGUACCUUGGGCGCCCUGCCGUUAUGUCACUGACAGGUGAGCCUGAUUGCAAUCAGGCCCUCACUGUGAGUGACACGAGUGCAAAGGAGCCAAAGUCAGAGGAGCUCUCAUCCGAAAAGGGAAACAUGGGAUUCCCAACGGUCUGUGAGGAGCUGGUAAUUGGUAAAGCAAAACAUGGGCCUUGUUUAGUUCCCAAAAAAAUUCGGAUUUCGGCACUGUAGUAUUUUCGUUUUUAUUUGACAAAUAUUAUCCAAUCAUAAACUAAUUAGACUCAAAAGAUUUAUCUCGUGAUUUUCAGACAAACUGUGCAAUUAGUUUUUAUUUUCAUCUAUAUUUAAUGCUUCAUGCAUGUGCUCUAAGAUUUGAUGUGACGUGGAAUCUUGAAAAGUUUUUGGUUUUCGGGGCGAACUAAACAAGGCCAUGGCCAAAAUGCCAAAACCCAGGUUACCAUUUUGGGUAAAAAAAAAAAAAAAAACUGGGCUUGCAAAAUCUGGGUACAUGAAUGAUGAGAUCCAGUGCUGUGACAACCUGAUGUGUCCAGUCUGAGAAGCUGAGAGGCGUAUCAAGCAGGUACGUCGCCGCCGGCGUCGUCGUCGUUAUCCCCUGCCUCGGGAUUCGUACUCGCCGUGCAGUAGUGACCACAAGAAAAAGGGUGCGACCCAUUUGCACAUCUAUGCGGGCCCAAAUAAAUGGUCUUUGCCUUGUCAAAAAAAAAUUAAAUGGUCUUUGAGAACCUCUUUGGGGCCUGUUAACGUUACUGCCCCCAAAGGCCCAACCCAACCUAAGCUGGACCGUGAAGCCCAGCACACUCGGUCUGUCGUCUCCAAAUCAGACCCAAAUUGCACGGCUAAUUUCCUUGUGAUGAACCUAAUAGGAAACCUAAUAAGGUAAUCAAAUAAGAUUCAAAUUAUUUGGGCCUGUGGCAGGAUUUAGUAAAAGCUAAAUACUUAUCCAAAGAUUCAACCCAUACAGUUUCACAUAAACUCUAUGAUUCACCCCACCAUUUGGUAUGAUUUACUUAAUGUUAAGGAAAUCUACACGAGAGGGAGAAUUAUUAAAAUUGAAAAUGGUAGGAAAACUAGAUUUUGGGAAGAUAGUUGGCUUUUUGAUAGACCCUUAUGAUAUCUCAUACCUGAACCCUACAUUCUGGGUGAGCAAAAGAAAGUAUCUGUAGCCACUGUCAAGAAUGGGGGUGUGCAGUUGUCCUUUCGUAGAUGGCUACCAAUAGAAAUCAGAGAUUUUUGGACCAAAAUUGGUCUCUAGUGGAAAUGUUCCAAUUGUCUGAAAAUCUUGAUAAAAUCAUGUGGAAAUGGGAUAAAAAAAAAGGCAAAUUCACUGCUAAGUCAAUGUACAAUGCAUUGACUAUGGGAGAUAAUGGCACUUAUAACAAGCUGAUCUGGAAAGGGAAGAUCCCUCCUAAGAUCAAGUUUUUUCAUGUGGUUGCUAUUAAAUGGGGUAAUUUUAACCAAAGAUAGUAUGCUUGAAAGGAAUUGGGAGGGUAGCCCAGAAUGCUUCUUUUGUGAACAUGAUGAAUCAAUUGAACAUCUGUUCUUUCAGUGCUCAAUUGCUAAGAGCAUCUCCAAUAGUUAUGUAAUUGGACUAUGCAUUUUAGAAAUUUACUAAAAACCUUAAAAAUUACUCUCCAACAGUUAUGCAUUUGACUUAUGUAUUUUGGCAAAUUUGACAUUGAUGGACCAAAUUUGGUAUUUUUCAUAGGCACAAUGGCUUGGCAAUUUUUAUAUCCCGAGUUUCCUGGACUCCUUGUCGUGCGCGACCUCUCCACGCGUUGUGGUAGUUUUCCGUGAGGACUUCUCCUCCCCGCGCUAACUCUUCUUUCCCCGCGCUGCCACCUCCUUUCUUCACGCCGCCUCUUUUCUUUCCCCGCGCGCAACUAGGAGACACGAUCCAUCGUCGCGUUCUCUCCUUCCUUCACGCGAUAGAACUCUGGCGAACUGCAACUUCGUGGACUGGCAGACAAGAGGCCGCGAUUCACAGAAACGGCGGUGACUUGUGACUUCAUGGACUGGCGGCGACGGGCGACAGAAAUUCCCACACAAAGAAAAAAUCUCGCGCGAAGCGCGCCAAACAAAAAAAAGAUCCCGGAUAAAAAUAGUUGGGUCCACUAUUUUGGGAAAUGUCAAUUCAAGAAUGUCAAACACUUGGAGAUGGACUUAUUUUUACUUUGGCAAAACGUUUAGGAACUUAGCAAAUUCCAACAAAUAGCAAAUUCUAAUUGCAUAACUGUUGGAAAUGCUCUAAGUUGUUUGGGCAUGCAUAGCCAAGUGUAUUGGUGUCUGUGAUAUACCUGGUAAUCUUGAACAAUGCUAGAUUUGGCUUGAUAAAUGGUUUCCUCAAGGGAAAAAUUUUUAUGUUCUGGGUUUAUCAUCAAUCUGCUGGGCAAUUUGGAAAGCGAGGAAUAAAGCAUGCUUUGACAAGAAGAUUAUCAAAAUCCCGCUGGAAAUAAUCUGUCAUGCAGGGGCACUAAUGAAACUCUGGGCAUGUUUGUAUCCAGAAUUGGACAAGGAAGCUCUGGAAGAGGGUGUCAACGUCAUGCUGAAGGUGGUGAUAGAUAUUUUAGCUUCAAAGAAGACCAAGCUCUCAGGCAAAGGGAAUGAUGUGCAAGAGAAUCAAGAUGGUGGUCUCAUCAGCAACAGCAGUGAGAAAGGGGAUUCAAGAUGAUGGAGUUUGUUGGAAGAUGAAUGAGGCUAAUCCGAUUUGUGGUCUGUCUUUACUCGAUCGUCGAAUGGAGUCUGUUUCGUUUAUAUAUGUUGUGGUUUUUUGGGUCUCGCAAGUGUUGUCUGGUGUUUGGAUAUUCUGGGAUGAGGGAAGAGGGGGAAACAUUGUUCUUCCAGGUUAAGUUCCCUUUUACACGGGAGGUUAAGCGUAGUCUACGAGUUCGUUAGCCUGUCUCGUCUUUUUUUUUUUCUGCUUCUUAAACAUCUUAAGGAUACUUGUAUUUCCGUUCUGUGAAUGAGAAUGGGGAUCCCCCGAACCUUAAAAAAAAAAAUCCAAAUUGCACUAGGCCUUGUUUAGUUUUAAAGGAAAAAAUUUCGCGACACUGUAGCACCUUCGUUUGUUUGUGGUGAUUAUUGUUUAACUAUGGACUAACUAAGCUCAAAAGAUUCGUCUCGUUAAUUCUGACCAUACUGUGCAAUUAGUUUUUAUUUUUGUCUAUAUUUAAUACUCCAUGCAUGCGUCUAAAGAUUCGAUGUGACAGGGAAUUUUAAAAAUUUUUGGGUUUUUGGAUGGAAGUAAACAAGGCCACCUGAAAAUUGGUUGCAUAGGUUGACCCUAUAUUUAUAGAUCAAUAUGAAUGAGAAAUAUAGUUUUUUUAUUAGGGGAACGAGAAAUAUAGUACAUACUUUUAGAAACGAUAAAUAUAGUAUGGUACUUUCAAAAUGUCUUUUACACUAGAUAAUAAGAACCUAAUUGUUUGGAAACGAGAAAUGGAAUACGAAAUGAUUCUCGGAUCCUGUUCCCGCUGCUAAGGAGGUGUUUGGUUGGAGUUAUUAAAGUUUAACAGGUAUGUAGUAUUUUUGUUUUAUUUGACAAUUACUAGUAUCUAAUUAUGGAUUAAUUAGGUUUAAAAAAAUUUGUCUCGCAAAUUACUCUCUAGUUAUGUUUUUAGUUUUGUAAAUAGUCUAUAUUUACUUAUUUAGUACUUCUAUGCAUGUCAUAUAAUGAACGGUAAAUUUUACCUAGUGCAACCAAACAAAAAUGAGGACCGUUGCCUUGCGUAAUAAAUAUCAGAUGCAUGCAUAUGCGCGGCUUCGAUGAGGAGUAAAAACCGCUCCCCACUCGUGCACGCCUCGUGAUCAACAUUCGACCCAUCACCGGAUACAUAUGAGAUACAUCGACGUCUCGUCGGCGUCGGCGUACAUGCAUAUUCAAUUUAUUUACGCUGCUACAGUGUGUUUUGAUCGUGAACACGAGCCACACAGCGGCAAGCAACGCGUGCAAGUGCGAGCAAUGCUAGCUUUUUUUUUUUUUUUUUGGUUGGAGGCAGGAGAGAGACCAACACAAAUUCAUCACUAUCUCAUCUCCCUCGUAAAUCCUAUCUAUAUACUGUCUCGAUCUAUAUAUUGUGCAGUAAAUUCCAACUAGUGUCGGUUUUUUCAACUUUAUCUAAAUUUAUAGGAAAAUACAUGCAUCGACACCUACAGUUCGAUUGGUUUUUGAAAAAAAGUCUAGUCGAAAUUAGAAAAGUUUGACUUAAAAUAAAAUUAAGAUAAAUUAUAAGUGACAUGGUGUUAUGCCUUACGUGUGGAGAGGGCAAAAGCAGAGAAAAGAGUUAAAGUGGAGCAAAUAACUAAAAGGGAGCUGUGUGUAGCUAGCCUGCUUUUAGCAACAAAGGUGAAAACAGACAUCCUACCUACACGUACGCCCUUCUCAAGGGUCAAGAUAAUUAAUUAGGUCAAUGUUAUCAUUACAACGCUUGCUAAUCUUCUAUAGCAAAAGUUACAAUCUUGGCUCAUCAUGCAGCGCGUCUUGCCAACAACAGCAUGCAACGCAAAUAAUGAUCAAUCUUAGAUCAGAAAAACUAAAAGAAUCGUGUUGCUCAAUGACCGGCGGGCGGGAGAGGAAAUCCCAAUGAAUAAUGGAUCGGAAAAAGACUCGUUAGGGCAGCUAAUCAACGUGAUCAGCGACGUGAGUAGUGUCCUAAUUAACUGCGUUGUCCUAAUAGAUCCCCAUGGGCGAUCUCCGCAACGAAGGCGCGUGUAGAAACAUAAGCUUUAUUAGAGUUAAUUUGUAGCACAGGAUCUAAACCGAAACUUAUGAUACCACCUAGGAGACUAGAAUGGGUAGAAAGAAUGCUCGAUAUAUGCUGAGCAUCGUGGACAAAUUAUAUGUAGCAGCACCUAAUAAAGGACCUAUGCCAAAAGAUAUUUCUUAUGUUGACAUGUUGUCAAUUGGAAACAAAAACUACUUAACUCAUUUCUGGCACAAAAUCACUUUCUUCAUAAAAGCUUUUUUUAUAGAUCCAUUUUCAACUGCAAAGUCAAUUUUCUUAGAAAUUCAAAAGAGGAAAGCUUUACUACUUGCAUGCCCUUGGUUAACUUUGGGAACCACACUGUGUGGGGCCUAGUAACAAUGCUCUGAAAUGAAGGGGGAAAAAACAUGGUACUCCACUGUACAUAUGCGACUGUGAAAACUUUAAAAUAUCAGAGCAAACAGAUUAAAGAAGAACUCGCGUGUUAGGCUGUCGCUUUGCAGCUCGUGACAUAUUCAUUGUUUAAACAAAGCUGAUGGGGAGCACUAUGAGUGAGACACUCAAUUCCGUGCAUUAUCGUCUAGUGGUACUACUCCGAUUCCUAUAUAAUACGCGUCGAUCAUUAGUGUUUGUUUGACCAUGUUUGCUACCGCUUGACCUCUAGUAUCGUGUCAGGUUAUUUAAGCCUCGGCGUUAGUAGUCCUUGUACUGCACUGCAUGCUAAUAUAGCAAGACAAAUUAGCAUCAGGUUGCUAUCCCCUGUCCACAUGCAUGCAUGCGGUUCUGGCAUAAUUUCACUGUCUCAGCCAUCUUUGGCCUUGGUGCCUGUUUAUAUAUACUAGUAAAAAGAUUAACUAAGGAGUACUUGCAAAAAGACACAACUUUUCAACCCCUGGUGGCUUGGAUUUAUGUGUAACAAAAUAUAAUACUCUUGGCUCAAGGAAUAGGAUUAUAGGAAGAAAGAGUUGUUGUUAUUUUUCUGAAGAUUCAUAAGAGUGAACUACUAUCAAUUAUUUAUGUGAAAUGACAACUGAGAAGUGUUUUCAGGGAAAGAGAUGGGAUUUUUAGUUGGUGUAGUGUGCGUGAAUCUGCAGUGUUUAAUCAGUAGAGUGUUGCCAGCGCAAACACGCUUACAUCUGGGCCGGAGCCAGGCAACAUAAACACGGCAGAGAAAAAAUAGAGGCAGGUCCUGAUGCUGAGUUGGCAUAUCAUUGAGCACCAACCACCAAAUGAUGCCUUGCCACUUGGGCACAUAUAUACAUACUACAUAGGAUAAACUCAAUCAUUACCAUUUUGUUUUUCUUUUAUUUGGUAUAAAGUAUCUCUCCAUUUUACUUGCACAAACUACAGAUAUAUAUAGCUAAUGACAGAACUUGACAGAUAUAUAGCAGAUAGCGUACUGCACAACAGUAGUUGCUGUCCUGCACCGUCGUACCCAAUUUAUUUGCAUGUAUAGUACAGCGAGUAUAUAGUGCAUCCGUGGCAUGUACCCUACCGCAGUGUUUAUGUGAUGCGGAUUUCAGCUUUAACUGUCAACUAACCAGCAGCCAUUACCUCAGUUCGUUACACACAUGCUCAACUGGCACGAGUAGUGUCAAAACUAACCAGUCAUUACCUAGCUGCGCAAGUUGGCAAAAAAAAAAUGAGACCGGGACUUCACCAGUUUUUCAUUAAGAGGAACAAAGCAGAAAAACUGUUGCACGCAAGGCGCAGACAACAUUCGAAUAGAAUGCUAAGAAGCUAUGGGACUCGCCGACUGCGAACCUGAUAAGUGACACACACGCAGCACUCAGCAGUUAGUAGAGCGAUUACAUAUUAAACGUAAGCUGCGACCAACAAUCCAUCAAAGCCGACACUGGCGCGAACCCCCCAGCACCCAAUCCGACCCUUCCUUGGCAAAAUACGCGAUGCAAACCACGUACUAAGUGAAAAAUAUGAAAGUCAAUUUUAAAACAUAUUUUAUCUAUUUCAUUUUUUUAGAAAAAAUAGUGCAUCCAUAUUCCAUAGUGCUCACAUGCAGAAAUUGAGAUGCAAACUUGUUUUUAAAUAUUCAUAUGAAAACUGCAAUUUUCAAAUGUAUUUGCAUGUAUAGAAGACGAAAUCCAUGCAUCUAAAAGAUUUGUUAUUUUUGUCUGAAUUUUUUUAGUUUGAGUUUAUUUUGUAUGCGCUAUGGAUAUAUCAAUUUUUAAUGUUUUUAAACGAUCAAAGUAUGUUUUUUAAAUUAGUCUCUAUAUUUUUACCUAACACAUGGUUUUCACCCUCUAUAUUUUCUCAAGUUUUGAGCUUAGUUUGCAUUUCCUGUCUCGUUUAGUCCUGUUCGCUUGUUUUAUAAACUAUAUUUUUUCUAUCAGUCAAUAUUGUUUUUCUCUCACGAUAAAUCAGCAAACAGUCAUGUAUUUUCAAUAAAAAGGUUUGGGUGAAGGCAAAAUUCCAACUACGCUGACCACACCGUGCCAUACAGUACUUCCAACGGCCAUGCAGGCAUGCAGAUCUAUCUGAAUGCCGCGCGAUCCAGCAGUGCUUUUGCGUCACUCCAUGCUUCAGGCCGAAGGAUUGAUCCAGUCGUGUCAGUUGUCAUCUUCGGUUCUUGAGGGUCACGUCUAGCUGGUUCUGGUAAAGUUUGAAAAGCUUUUACUACUACCACGGUUCUUAAGAAAAUACAAUUCUAAACUUAAGACUAGUCAAAUUAUCUCAAGAUUAACCCAUCUUACACGAAAAAUUGUCAAUAUUUAUAUGUUUAUUUCAUAUAAAAGUAUUAGUAUUUUUAUAUAGACGAUUAAAAUUCAAACUGUUUAACUUUUCAAAAAUUGAGAAAUGCUUUCAUUUUAGGAUAGAGAAUAGUAGUAUGAAGAAGUAUUGCUUCCUCCAAAAAGAAAUCCAAUUCUAGAAUAGUCUCGGUUCAAGGUUUGUUUGAAAUGUAGAAAAAAUUUCUUGUUCCUAAGUUUUUAUUGUGAAAUUAAACUAACUUCUAUAAAUUUUAUGCACCAUUCUCGUGAAUUCUUGUGUUCCAAAUAGGCUAUUCAUAUUUGUAGUUGGACAAAUUAUAUAUUAAAAAAGGUAUUGAGAUGUAUCAUAUUAAAUAAGUAUCAUUAAAUUUGUCAUAAAACAUAUUUUUAAGAAAUACUAUAUUUAGACUCAUUGAUAUUUAUGGUAAUCUUAGUUAACUCUAAGAUAUUCUGAAUUUAACCAAAUCUAUAAUUACAUUAUUAUUUGGGAAUGGAUGUAGUACAAAGUUUUCGUUUUUAAACGUACUCGUGUGAACACAAGACGAGACCCAAGGAUAUGACUAUGGACUCGAGACCGAAGAAUAUGACUAUGGACUCAGACUGGUUUUCCAAAUAGGACUCGAUUGGUUUCCCAAAUAUAGGUAGGUAUGUAUGUACCCUGGCUCGUAUCAUCGGUCGAUUUGAUUGCCAAUUUUUUUCAUCAUCCUAAUAAGGCUGAGAUAGUAGAAAUGUAGUGAUUCAAACAAAACACAGCUUGCACCACAUUAACCAGCUUGAGCAACCAAAUUACAUGAAUGAAUACAUAAAAAAUCAUGCACCUUGAUACCAAUCAGGAUCUUUAUUGGUGACUACCAGUGGAGAUUCCAAUACCAUCAAGCCCCUUCCCUUCCCCUGAUCCCCUCUGCCUCUCUCUUCUCCCUCCCCCACCUGCUGUCUCCAAGCUGUCCAAAGUCUCCAGCUUUCCUCCCCUCCCCCUAAAAACUCCUUCCCCACAUCACUGCGAAGGGAGGGAGGAGGAGGAGGAGGAGGAGGAGCGGAGCAGCAGCGGCGCAUCGCAACACUCACCAAGGUAACGUACACACGCUUCCUUCCAGCUUGCUCUAUCGCUCUCCCUUCGCCAGCCGCCACUGCUCCCAGCUGUUGCAGCCUCCGAACAUCCAAAGCUCCUGCACUGCACUGCACGCACGCACGCACCCCUGUCAGCUCCAGCCAAGAAUCGUUGGCCUCGGCUGUCCGGUGCCUGCUCCUCCUGCCGUCCCCUCCUCGCACCUCCAUCCACCUCCCGCGGCCUCCCACGCGACAUGAUUGCAUUGCGGGCUGCCGCGGAGCUCAGCUGUCCUCCUCCCACUCCCACGCCGCUGCCUGCGCACAACCGAAACAGCUGACUCUAGUCUCUAGCCGCUCGCCUUCCCUCCUCCCCUUUGCUUCCGCACGAAGAUUUGUUGGGCGUUUUCUUCUUCCGAUAAAGUUGUAUGUGGUUUGACACCCGUCGUCUCGUCGUAGGCCUGGCAGUGGCACUGGCAGAUACAGAUAGGUCGUGGUUUGGUUCGUGACUUGUUUGCUCCUCUCCAGGUGCCGUGUGCCAGGGUGACUGUUCCGAGGAGGAGCGUGGAGUGGCGCCAUGGGGAAGAAGGGCAAGUGGUUCGGCGCCGUCAAGAAGGUCUUCAGCCCUGAAUCCAAGGAGAAGAAAGAGGAGGUGAUGCUUCAUGCUUCCCCGCCCACCUUGGAUUUCUCUUGCGUUUUGCGGGUUUCGUUUUGGAUUUGUGGGGGGGACAUGUUUUUCUCACUCGGAUCUGAUCGGGUUCGUGUUUCCCCCCGCCCAAUUCCGAAUAAUUCAGUAGCUUCAGUCCAGUUGUUCAUGGUGAAAACGGCAUCUUUCGAUUGGGCUUUCGUGUUUAUACAUACAUACGGGAAUUUGUGGUUUUGCAUUCUGCAGUUCCAACAGCAUUGGUGUCAAGACGGCAUUUCCUUCCCUUGCAGAUCUGUGAUAAAAAGCGCCGCCUUUUUUUCUUGCGUUUUGUUUUGUUUUGUUUUGUUACUCUACUAGUUCGAACUGAAUUCUGAUCACAAAACCAAAACUUUGCACUUGGAAUUAACAGAGACUAAGGAGGAAAUCAGCAGCUAGCAACCCAGCACCGCUAGAUCUGACCCCAUCUACCUCCUUGGAAGUCAAUGUUUCGGUGCCACCCCCUCCAGCUCCGGCACCUCCUCCAGUUCUCCACCAGGCCGAGGAGGUCAGGGUCCCUGAACCCGAGCAGGAGCAGAGCAAGCAUGUCACCGUGGAGGAGCCCCCUGCUGUUCCAGCACAGCCGUCGGUGCUGCCACCUGGUGUGCCAACCGAAGAGCUUGCUGCGGUCAAGAUCCAGACCGCCUUCCGAGGUUACCUGGUAAUGUGAAGUCACUUCCGAAUUCACCUGUUCGGUGCCAUUUGGACCUGUUUUUUUCCUGAGAUGUUUAGAUAAGAACAAUUGUGACAGUUGGAAAUUGGUUUAUGUAGAUAGAUGGUCGUAUUACAUAGCACAUGGAAGUGUUUGUUUAGCUGCUGAUUAGGUCUUUGAUAUUUGGGGGUUAGGAAGAGGUUUGUUUUUUUCCUGAUUUCGUUUCCACAUCGACAUGACUGAGCAUGCAAGCAAAUGUAUGUUUGGUGUUGGUGGCUACCCUGCUUAUUUUCUUUUUUCGUGUUCUAGCUUUUAGGUGUCGGCAGCUCGCCAACUUGCAAGUGUUAGUUGGCCAGUUGCUGUUACUGUAAUGUGGAGUGAUACUUCUUAGCCGAAUAAUCUUAGCUAUUUACAUGUCAUGCUUUCAUUGUAACUACUUUGUGUGGUAAAUGGGUAUUUACGGCUAAAGUAGAUUUUCUUGCUUUAGUCGAACCUGGAGGAACUGCUAAUUUCUAGUUUAAUUCCUCUCCUUCAGUUAGCUGUUUACUUUUUAGGUUUAUCUAUUGUUUAUGUCAAUGUGCAUUUGUCCAAAGGGCCUACAAAUCAUUCUUGCAAAGUGUUAGAAAAAUGAUUCUUGAACAACUGGCAGUUGGUGGCAACCACCUUUCAUCACUCAUUUUGAUGUUCUUUUCAAUUAUUUUUUGAUUUGAUACUGAUAUCCUGUCUGUCGUGCUAUUGAACUAUCCAUGAGAUAGCAAUUAGUGGACGUAACUUCUGUUCUUUGGGAAAUAUGACUUCAUGAAAAAUUGACUUAUUUCAUAGUAAAGCAGAAUCUUACUUUUACGCUUCCCAAAAAAAUGGAAAGAAAAAGAAAAGAAUCUUACUUUUACAAACAACAUUGUACUAAGUGUUGUUAUACUGAGUGCUCGGUCAUUGUGAUAAUGUAGGCAAGGAGGGCACUAAGAGCACUGCGAGGUCUUGUUCGAUUGAAGUCAUUGGUUGAGGGUAAUUCAGUCAAGCGUCAAUCUGCAAGCACUCUGCGCUGUAUGCAAACUCUAUCGCGGGUGCAGUCACAAAUACGUUCUAGGAGAGCAAAGAUGUCCGAGGAGAACCAGGCCCUCCAACGCCAGCUCCUACUUAAACAGGAAUUGGAGAAUUUCAGAGUAUGCAAACCUUCUGAAAACUUUGCAGUAAAAGUUUCAUCAGCUGGUGUUGUUCAACUGAUAUCAGUAGUAUUUUUGUCUGAUUUGCUCCAAGCCUCGAGAUAAUUUUAAAAUAUUAUUGAGAGAAUUAAACAUAUUCUGUUUGUGAACAAUGCUAUAUCAGAUGGGUGAGAACUGGGAUGACAGCACUCAAUCCAAGGAGCAAAUCGAGGCAAGCCUGAUAAGCAGGCAAGAAGCAGCGAUAAGAAGAGAAAGAGCGCUUGCAUAUGCAUUUUCACAUCAGGUAGGAAUUCCUGCUCUCAGAACAUAUGCUAAUCUAUAUAUAUACUUGAUCCUGGCUAUACGGCGUAAAAUGUCUCGAAAUGUGUUUUUUACAGUGGAAGAGUACUUCAAGAUCUGUCAACCCAAUGUUUGUAGACCCAAACAACUUGCAGUGGGGCUGGAGCUGGUUGGAGCGCUGGAUGGCAGCAAAACCUUGGGAGGGCCGUAAUGGGGCUGACAAGGAGAGCAACUUUGACCGCGGAUCAGUUAAGAGUAUGAGCUUGAACCUUGGAGAGGGUGAAAUCACAAAAGCUUUCAACCGCCGGGACUCAAAGCCAGAAAAGCCAUCACCACCAACUCCAAAACCAACCCGUCCAGCCUGGCAAUCCCCUUCGACGCCAUCUGCUAAAGUGGCACCAAUACCUGCCAGGAGGAAAUCCGCCACGCCAAAGAAUGGGCUUUCACAGGUGGACGAUGACGCUAGGAGUGUGCUCAGCGUGCAGUCUGAGCGACCAAGGAGGCACAGUAUAGCCACCUCGACUGUGCGGGAUGAUGAAAGCCUCGCAAGCUCCCCAUCACUCCCCAGCUACAUGGUUCCCACGGAAUCUGCAAGAGCCAAAUCUCGUCUCCAGGGCUCAUCAAUGACCAAUGGUGCAGAGACACCAGAGAAAGGAGGCUCUACUGGACCAGUCAAGAAGAGGUUGUCCUUCCAAGGUGGAACUGCAGCUGCCUCACCAAUGCGGCGGCAUUCUGGUCCUCCCAAGGUGGAGAGUGCAGUGAAGGACAUUGUUGCACCACCACAGCCAGAGGCCUUGGUAGUCAAUGGUGGAAGCAAGUGACAAGUACCAGGAGGGGAAGCGGAUUAUGAAGAUAUGUUUCAUCCAUGGACAGAAGUUUAAAAGUGAUAUCAGAUCUAUGAAUGAUUUGAAUUGUUUUCCUGUUACGACACCAUUGUUUGCUAUAUAAGAUUCACAGUACCUGCCAGUUGAUUCCAUUUGUUGUUUCUGUAAAACAAAUAUCAAUUUGUCACUAGAAUAUGUGGUGUUUGUAUGUAAACAUGUCCUUUAUUUAUGUGAGCCAUAUACUUCUUUUUCAGAAGAUCCCCAUGAAGUGUGCUACCCUGCAGUCUAUUUACUUAUUUUAUCUCGCAAAUUCCUAUAUGUCUAUAAACCACUAGCCCCGUUUCCGAUGUAAAAAUGUAAAACCAAAUACACUAACAAUCCAUCGAUCCAAAUUCAAAUCUUAUAAAAUAAUGUUAAGUGACUUCUUCAUUAUGGUAUGUAAAACAAGAAUAGAAUCCUAUUGCCAAUCAAUAAUAUAUGAGUUACAAAGCUGCAUGUGGAGUCAAAUAACAAUGAGCUACAUUUCAAAUUCAUCUGCACAAUUGGUUCUUCAGCUCACCAUCAAAUAUUUUCUUUUCUUGAAAACGCAGGAAAACUGCGCUUCAUUAUACUUAGAAGAAAAAGGGGGGAGAGACCCCAAAUACAACACAAACCACAACACCCCAAAAUGUUAAAAUUACAUACGCGCCUGUGGAAACAAAGAGGCGAUUAAAGCUAGACUAUCUCCAGGCUACAGAACUCAGCAUCAAAUAUUUCACCAAGCCACCAAUUCAGAGCAAUUUUUGUUAGUAUCAAAAUCUUGGCAUGGAAGCAGUCAUUGGGCAAUCUGACACAAAUUUGCAGAAACGGCACUUCCACCUCUCCUCUUCGGCUACAAAUUUAGGUUCAUGUGAUCCUAUCCAGAAGCUGAGGACUUCCUGGAUUUGAUCCUUGAACCACCUAGCAUCAUAAGUGAACCCGUAUGCUUCAAGCAGGGAAUGGUCUUCCUGUAGUUCAUAUCUGCACCAGUAAAGGACUAGGAAAUUACUCUCUAUAUCUGCGGUGUCCCAUUUGCAAAAGGUCCAGAGAAUAGUGAUUUGCCAUUCAAUAGUCUGUACAACAGGUUACUGUUGUUUAGGCCGUAAGCCUGUAACUCGUAUUUACCUCAAGAGCAGCUGUUCUUGAGACCGUGGUAGUGUAUGGCAGGUAACCUUGAAAUAUUUCAAUACAUCUUCAAAGGUCUGCAAACAGCAACCAUGUUACAAGUCAUAACUCGCAAGGACCAUACAACACGUUGUAGAUGGUAGCAUGAAUGUACAUCCAGAAGUACAGUAAAAAAGCAGUGUUAGCAAACACUUCUGGAUUUGCUCAGUUUGCUAGCACAUAGCAGCAAUUGAUUUCCUAUUAAUAAACUGAUUGGUCAAUCACAGUAAAUUGCCUGAGAACUAUAAGAAGAAUUACAAAGUUUAAAGGUGCGACAUAUCACCUUUGCAUUGAAUCCCAAUGAGUUAAUAUACCCCUUGACAUCAUCUGAUAACAAGUAGUUGGGGUCCAGGUCAAAAUAGCUGAAGAAAUUCUCUGCUGGGAAUUUCUGUGUGGUCAAAUUGUCCCAUAGAUACUUGUAACACAUCAGUUGAAGCCUGUCAUAAUCAGAUAAUCAUCUAUCAUACAAACUUCAUAGAUGCUAUCAUUCUCCCAUGUUCUUCAAGAGCAUUCGACCGUCUUAUUACUGUGAGGCAAAACAUUAAAACUUGAAGAUAGCAAUGUAUGCUACUAAUCAUAUGGAUUUUGUUUCUAAACAGUAACACUCACCAAUGGCUUAAAAAUAUGUCACGCAAAUAUAGGUACAAAGCCAGAUUUGCAUAAACAAUACAGUCUAGCAAUUAAUCCCUUUUUUAGGUACUGGAGCUAUGAUUGGACAAUGUUAAACAGGCAAAAGAGCAUUAAUACAAGUCCAUGCAAUUUCAGAUCAAAGCAGAAGUCUUCACUAGUAUAGAGAACAUAUUUGCCGGACGACAUAAUUUGCCGUUCUCUAGGUGAAAUGGUUAGCAAAGCAAAUGUAAGGAGCAAACCUUCCAUUUCUUUUUUGUGCUUCUGAUGGAAUUGUUCGCGUGGAACGUGUCUUUGUAUCCACCAGCAUGGGUUGCAAUGAAACGCCAACCGUGGGCAUUUUGAUUUCAUCUAUAAUUCCUAUCAUCCAUGAACCUUCGACAAACCCAAUCCUGCAAUGACCUGAUUUACAUCAGACCUACUGAGUAGAAUGUUUCCUAAGAUGGAAAGCAUCAUAUACACUCCGGAAACCAACAACAUAGCAGAGUAUUUCAAUCGGUACACAGCAUUGGUUUGCAGUUGCACGGGGAAGAGGCUAAGUUCCUGGGGCUUACACUGGAAUUUCCCGUGUCAUGCCCUCGAACAUUAGCUGGUUUGUUCCCACGAUGAAGUUGAUGAAUUUUACUGCCCAUAGUUCUUCCGCAGAUCUAAUGGCGACAUCCACUCUCUCAACAACCUGGUCCAAAAGGAAACAGGUCGAAAUGAGAUUCGUUCGGAGAAACUUCCAUGGUGAAAUCAUGGUGGAAAAGGCACAGCAUUCCGCUUGGAAGAACCAGAAAUGUUGGCUCACCUCUUGCUCGAGCUGGGCAUGGCGGUCCGAACCGACCUUCAUGGCCACGGUCUUUUCCGGCUUGCCCCGUUCGAGCACGAACUCCAUCUGCUUCUCGCACCAUUCCUGCAGCAAGAAGUACGGUCACCAUCAGAAUCACUGGACACGAGCACAUCUGAUCUGCGCAGAAGACAAGACAACGAAAUGCGGGCGGCGGCGUCACCGUGGCGGUGAUAUCGGUGACGGCGAGCGCGCGGCGCUCCCGGAACCGAGCGAGCCGAGACCUCCGCGGCAGAGGCGUGUCCUCGAUGUCGCCGGCGGCGGGCGGGUACGCCGCGCAGAAGAGCGGGACGGCGGCGCGACGGGCCGCUGCGGAGAGGAGGGGGCGUGCCCCCGCCGCGGCGGCGGCGAGCGCGGCGUCGAUGAGCGCCAUCUCCUCGUCGCUGACGAUGUCCACGGGGAACUCCUCUGUCCCGGGGCGCGCCGCGGCGGCGGAGGAGGAGGAGGAGGAGGAGGGGGAGGCGUGGUGCAUCGGAGCCGGAGGAGGAAGCGGGGAAGCCGCCAGCUGUGGGCCCCACCUGGCAGCGCGGAACCGGCGGCGGCGGCCACUACACCACAACCCUUAUUUAGCAACUGACUGCAGUUGCUAAAAGUUUUAAUUAGCAUAGAACGGUGGGUCGCUAAAGGUUAGCGAAGGACGGUCACUUGCUAAAACCGAAUAGGGCGAUGGAUGGUCCGUUGCUAUAAUUAUUUUUCUUUUGCAUUGGAUGGUCGGUUGCUAUACAUCACGAACAACAUCGAAUGGUCCGUGGCUAUAUAAAUUUUCCAUUUGCACACGGUAUUUGGGCCUUUCCUGCUGUAAUUUUGGCCCAAAAUGUCCUAAACCCUAGCUCAUCCCACAUUACUCCCUACAAUGGCCAGGUUAAAGGGCGCACUCCCUACAAUGGCCAGGUUAAAGGGCGCAGACUACAUAGGACACGUCACCCUAAAAUCCUUUAGCCGUGGAUUUUUCGAUCAACGCUCCAAAUCCACUCCACCUACUGCUACAGUGUGCAGUUAAAAAUAUCUCCACGCCUCCCCUCUCUCUCCCCAUCUCUUCUCUUCCCUUUCGUCCCUCUCAUCUUUUCCCCCGAAAAAAAGUGCCCUCAAGUCUCUAGCUCUCCUGAUGUCGGUAGGGCGACGGCGCAAGCGUGCCUCGGCGGUGGCUGCCCCUCAGCCCGGCAGCAGCGGCCCUCCUCCUCGGUGCCCCCACCUCGCGCUGCACGAGCAGGCCGGCAGCGGCCCCACCGGGUGUUGUGCCGGCGCGGUGGCCGUCCUCUAGCGCAGGCGCCAGCGUCCCCUCCUCAGCGACGCGCAAGGGCCCUGCCGGUGGCCGUCGGUGCCGGUGCUCCUCGAUGCUACCUCCUUCUGCCGAUUUGCGUGUGGUACAAUGCUCAGCGAAACCCUAGCUGCUUCUGCCUCUUCCUCGCGCCAGCAGCGUCGGAUCCUCUCUACCUCCAUUUUCCCCUUUGCGCAGGUGAUUGGGCGCGUGCACGCAGCGGACACAGGCGACCGAGCAGCAGCAACACAAAGACGUUAGCUGGCAAUAAUAUAUGGGGUUUUCCCUUGGCCAUUUGUUAUAUGGGUAUUUUUUUUUAUCAGUGAUUACAUAAAAGGUUAUGCUUCCUUUUUAUAAUCUACCUACGAAUAUAGGAUUUCCAGAGAUUUAUUAUGAGUCACCUACUGUUCUUGAAAUGUAGAAAUUUUUGUGAGUACAAUUCCACCCAUCUCUGCUAUUUUUCUCUUUUAUGUGCAGUUACAAUACAGUUGCCAUCGGAGCAGGACGUGUCUUCCACUUUUGCAAAUUUGUGCCCUUUCAUCUUGAGGGCAUGUAAGGUGUAGUCUAAGAAAUUACUUACUUAAUUUUUCAUACCCACAGAUUGCACGAUGAAGUUCCUGUAACGAUGACUUACAAAUCUUAAUGGGUUAAAUUGUGUUUGGCUAUUUUCAGAUUAAAAUGAUUGUGGGUUCAUAGCAAAAAACUAGGUGGGUUCAUUUGUAAUCGCGCGUCCAAAAUGAUUCCAUGUUUAGGGGAAUGAAAUUUGGCGGUGUUUGCUGCGGGUUUGCCUCUCACUUAUUUUUUAUGGCCAUACCAUCUGCUACAUGCAAGCCUUAUUUUUUGAGAAGCCCCAUUUACAGCCUUAUUUCCAUACUGCAGGGUUUGUGUUGUUUUAUUUCAGCUUGCCUAUUUUAGGAUGAUAAAACAUAAAAUAUGCAUUAGAAGUAAGGUCAGGCAUAAAUUGUCAUGGUCCCUAUUUUCCUACUCAUUGAUGUAUUUAUUGAUUCGAUUUCAGUUACAAGAUGCAAUAUGUAGGCAACAAAGCUGCACUUUAACUCAUCACUCUACUGUCUUCCUUCAGGUCUGCAGCAUGGUGUCACGUGAGAUGCUAGCUGCAGCUGAAGCAUUGGAAUUUUUCAUUGAAAAAGAGAGUUUUGGAGUCAGAAAUGUUCAAACACAGUGUACUCUGCUUAUUUUUUCCCUGCCCUGUUGCUCCCCAUGCUAUGUUUUCCACCUGAAUUGUUAGGGAAGCAAACUUAUACUAAAAUAGGUCCAACAAGGAUUGAAUCAAGAUACCAAUUUAAUUUCCUCAUGCACCUUACUCAGUGCCCAUGAGUCAUGUUAUAAUUUAUUCUACAAUGUUAGAAUCUAUCUGUGAUGUGUGCAGUGGCAGUUUGAUUUCCUAUGCAUGGAGUUUACACAUAGCUUCUUUUAUUUAAGCAAGCCUGAACAUACUAAGUAGCAGCAGCUGUGGCACUGUGCUCCAGACAAUUUUACAUGUUGACCUACUUUCUGAACAAAAUGUUUUUUGUUACCAUAUGAUCAUCAAUUAAAUUUUUUAUAUUACUUCUUUAGGUUUCAGCUCAUUUAUUCUUAGGUAGUAAUUGCUCUUCAUCAUCUGUUCGCCACAUUCUCUCAGUAUGAUACUUAGUUUUGAUGAAUUGUCAGUACAUGACUUCCAAUCAGCUUUGUAGUUGCCUUUCUAGGUCGAAGAGCUUGUGUACAAGGCAAUCGAGGUUUUCUGUGUUGGUGAGCUCUCAAACAUAAUUCUCUUUUGCUCUUCUGCUGUUCUUUGGCACAAAAUUGUAAGACAUAAUCUGCUGCCCCCUCUCUCUCUUCUUCCUGUCCAGGACAAAAGGACAGUAGUUGGAUCAGCUCAUGGCUGUCCAAGUCUUAGGUCCUGUAGAGUAUAUGGCAAUAGGCCAUACUAUGUACUAGUAGAGGUACACCAGCAGUAUGGCUGGUACUAGAGUAGUUGUUGGCUGAUUUCAGCCUUGUACCUUAGGAGUAUGUAGUAGGUAGUUUUGUACCUUAGAAGGUACAUGUAUUGGUGUAUAUAAACCAGCCCAAUGCAAUGGAAGAAGGCAGUUCAAUUGCCACUCAUUCAGUCCCUGUUUCAGUCUGAAACCGUGUGUGCUGUGUGUGUGCUGUGGGAGCUCAGGGCUCUUCUUCUACCUUGGAGCAGGGGAGAGGGAGAGGGGAGGAGAGCCAACAAUUGGUAUCAAAGCCGUACAAGCCAUAGCUAGGUCCUCUGACCAGCAAUGGCGGAGAGUGCGGGCCGGAAUGGUGGUGGGGAUGGUAGUGAGCGACAGCUCCAGCCGGCGCCACCACAGGUUGAGGUGCGCGUGGUGAAGGAGUUCGGUGGCAGCGGCUCCUGGCCCAUGCUCACCCGCACCAACUACGGUGAGUGGGCGACGCAGAUGAAGUGGAAGCUUCGCGCGCGCAAGUGGUGGCGGGCGAUUGAGGAGGAUGACCGCACCGAGGACGCCCAGGUGGGAGUCAUGGAGGCGCUCAUGGCCUCGACGCCGGCGGAGUACCAUGAGGCGUUGGGCGCGAAGGACACCGCGAAGCAGGCCUGGGAGAUGCUGGAGUCCCUGCGCAUUGGCUCGGAUCGAGCUAAGAGGGCGAGGAUUCAGCAGCUGCGCAGGGAGCUGAACGACAUCAAGUUCAAGCCCGGGGAGUCGGUGGAGGACUUCACUCUUCGCCUCCAGUCCCUGGCCACGCAACUGGCCACCUACGGCAAGAAGGUGGACGACGAGGACCUCGUCACCAAGUUGCUGUGCAUCGUGCCGGCGAGAUACUCGCAGCUCGCCAUGUCCAUCGAGACUAUGCUGGACAUCUCCACGCUGUCUCUGGAGGACGUGGCCGGGCGGCUGCGGGUAGCAGAGAGCCGCACCACGCCGGCGCCGGAGAAGGAGAAGCCCAAGCUCCUGCUGACCGAGGAGGAGUGGUC
rnacentral:lncRNA from 1 species